GAACUAUCACUAAGUGGAAAAGAUGUGAAGAUGAUUUUGCAGGCCGAUUUCCCACAACACCUUUUUGGCAGUCUUAAACAACUAGACAUUGUUGGAGAUGACUCAGCUUGUUUUCCAAUCUGGAACGUACUGGAGAGAUUUCACAAUCUCGAAAUGCUCAUACUGCGUUAUUUUUCAUCCCACGAAGAGCUAUUUUCGAUGGAAGGAUGCUUAGAGAAACAUGUGGGGAAGUUGGCAAUGAUAAAAGAAUUAGAGCUGCACGGGCACGAUCAUCUGAAGCAGCUGUGCAAACAAGACUCCAAACUUGGCCCCAUUUUUCAGUAUCUUGAAAUUCUAAGAGUAUAUUAUUGUCAAAGUCUGUUAAUUCUAUUGCCAUCAUCAUCGGUAUCUUUUGGGAACCUAACAAAACUUGAAGCUUUCGGUUGCAAGGAAUUGAUACACUUGGUAACAUCCUCCACAGCAAAAACUCUAGUGCAACUCGUCACAGUGCGUAUAUAUGGAUGCAGAGCAAUGACAGAGGUGGUAAUAAAUGACAAAGGAGUUGAAAAAGAAGAGAUUGUUUUCAGCAAAUUGAAGACAUUAGAACUUUGUGAUUUAGAUAGCCUCACAAGUUUCUGCUCUGCCAAUUACACCUUCAGAUUCCCAUCUUUGGAAUAUCUGGAAGUGAUUGGUUGUCCCAAGAUGAAGAUUUUUGCUACAGGAGAAUCAAUCACGCCUCCAAGAGUAAAUGUCUGGUAUGGAGAGACAGAGGAUCGAUGGCUUUGGACCAAUAAUGAUCUAAACACAACCAUACAACAAUUACACGCUGAAAAGGUACGGAUAUACAUAGUACUCUCUAUCUCCCAUGGAAACAUUUUACAAAAUUUUUUUUUUUAAUAAAAUAUAGAUAAGAUAGUUGUUAUAAAGUAAAAGUUUAAAUUGAUGAAUAAGAAUUUUAUUUUCAGCUGUUGGCGGUGCCGUCGAUAUUCUCUACCCAGUACUAAUUUCAUAGGCUUCUUAUGACUUGGGAGUUGUGUAUUUUUAGAAGAAAGCCUCAGCUGGUAAUUAAUUUUUAUUUCAUUUAUUUGAUCUCAUGGCUUGUUUCGCAAUUUCAUCUGAAUUAUUUAGAAUGGGUCAAUCGGCUUACUGUUAAAUUUGGAAUGCAAUUUUAAUGAUUCGUUCAGACUUUUGUGGACAGAUUUUGCAUCAUUGAAUGUCUUCUAGUCUAGUUUAAUUUGAGUUUUUUUUCUUUUUUUUGAGAGUUCCCCUUGUUUUCUAAAAUUUUAUAAUUCCUUGCAUACUUUGUAUGAUAAAAUUUCAUUAAAAGCCUUCAUAUUUUAUAAUUCCUUGAAAACAUCAUUGCUGUUCUGUUAUUUUAGUUUGGUUUGCUUCACACCUAUCUUUCUUUGGAAAUUUUUUUUUUUUUUUUUUUGAUGAUCUUUCGAAAUGCUCUUCCCUAUGAACACAUAAUUAAGACCAGCUGAAAAUCAUUCAUCGGAUAAAAAAUUAAAAAUAAACAAAAUCUAAUCAGAGCAUUAUGCCUAGAACAAAUCCUUAAACCAUCAAAGCAAAACUCUUCGCUAUGAAAAAAUAUACUGUGGAAAUAUUGUUUGAAAACGUUGGAUACCAAGAAAGGGACUAAUUUGGUCUAGUUUUAUGAGAAGUAUAGAAGAACGUUGUUUUCUCUGUUUUUCCUGUUAGAACUCUUUACUCUGUGAUUGUAGAAUGUCUGGAUACUGAUGAAGAUUCAAGUAACUCUUCUCCUAUGCAUCAUUUGAAAUAAGGUUUUUUUUUUUGGGGGGGUAAUAUCUCCUACUGGGUUAUAGUUCAUACAAAGAGAUUCUUAAAUCAAGCCGGAUACUGCUAGAAACAAGUGGGGAAGUAGGCACUGAUAAAAUGGUUAAUCCUGUCGAGACUUAAUCAUUGAAGCAACUCCAAACUGGACUCCAUUUUAAAUAUCUUGACAUUCUAAGACUAUUUUACAAGCAUUUAAGUCUAUUCCCAUGAUCAUCUAUAUCUUUUGGGAAUCUAACAGAACUGUUAGUUUUCCAUUGCAAGGAAUUGUAACAUCCGUCCACUACAGCAGAAAGUCUAGUGCGGCUCGUAUCAAUGAAGGUAGCUGGAUGCAGGGCAAUGACAGAGGUGGUAAUAGGUGACGGAGAAGAAGAUGAAGCACCAAAUUUAAAUUCAAAACAAGAGAUUGUUUUCAGAUAAAGAUUCUUGAAAUUGUCCUACUUACUGCUGACAUUUCCACAAGAAGUUAGAGAAUAUAAAAAAUUCAUUAAUCGUUAGUUUUUAAUUUCAUUAUUCAAUGAAAAGCCCUGUCAAAUUAAAUUGCAAAUCUCAAUGUGCAAGUACCUAAAUUUACAAAAUUUACUUUAAAUUAAUGAAUGAAAGAAUUUAUAUUCUGCUGUUGGAGGAGUCGUCAUCUCUCUCGACAUAGUAUACGAUAUGUUUUGAUCCCAUAGGCUUUUUAAUAUAUUACCUUGUGUUGUUUGAUCUCUAGGUUUAUUUUAUCGUUUCAUCUUAUUAUUUGCAAUGCGUCAGUUGGUUUAUUUGUUAAUUUUGGAAUGAAGUUGAUGCAGCUGAUGGUUGCAUAGGAUGAGUAGGAUAUCACUCCUAUAUCAUAACUUGAGCGGGUAUCUAUUCGGCAAGAAAUUCUGUUUAUUUCGUAGUUAUUUUACAAAGUUUAAGUUAUUUUCUUAUUUUUCUUAUUAUUUUCAAUAUUUUUAUAUUUUUUCUCUAAAUAUAAGAUUUUAAGUAUGAUUUAUUUUAUUUUUCUUAUUUCAGUUAGGAGAACGUUAUUAUGUAAUAAUAUUUCAAGUUUGUCUAUUUUGAUAAAUACAUAAUAUUUAGAAUUUGUGUAAAAAGGGUCCAAUACCCUAAUUUUGUUAUUCAAACUUCUAUUAAUAAAAUUUCAGACUUUUUAAAAAAAUUUCUCUAUGUUUUCAAUCUCAACAUCUAUGUUUCCCUUUCAUCAUAAGUUCUAAUGUCUGGUUCUGAGCUAGCUUUAUGUGCAUAUUAGACAUCAUUGAAGGUCUUUUGAUCUGAGUUAUGAUCAAAAAAUUAUGCUCGCUUCUGUCUGGUUGUAUGAAAAUUGUACAAAAUAAUAUUCUUAUAUAAUUUUUAUCCUCCAUUGUUACAGAAUCCCCAAGCUUCGAAUUUGUAAACUUUGAAAGCAUGGCAGAAAACUUAGUACUUAAUAAGGCUCUGGAAUAAGACUCUUUAUGGCUUCAAUAUUUUACUUAACAUGAAAUUUUCUUUCUAGCUAGCAUCAUUGUGAAGAUAAAUUGUGGUAGUUCUGACAAGUACUGCACAAUUAAUGUUACCAGCAAUCAAUUGGCGUGAGCACCAACAACCAUUUUCAUAUUUAAGCCUUUAGAAAAGUAACACAAAAUAUGGCAAGUGGCAACCACAUCAAACAAUCAAAUUGUUGAAAGAUUUUGAAAGCUUUAAUUUGCUUGAUAUAUAUUUGAAUAUUUCAACAGAUGCAUCUUUUCUCCACUCAUGGGGCACGUUGAGUUAGAAACGGUUUGAAUGUCAAUAUUACUCCAAGUGCCUCCACCGAAUUCAGAAUGAAAAAAAUCAUCUGGUUACCUGCACUUUAGUUUAAGCAGCUAACUAAGCUAAUUAGCACCAAGUAAUUCACAAACUAGUGAGAAAUUUCAUUAGUUAAUUAUCAUACCUGUUAUUAUACCAUAAACCAACCAAUUAAUUUAAACUUUGGCACAUACAAAAUUUGAAAAAGCUGAAAGCAUGGAAAUGUACUAAACAAACAAAAGAAAAUAUAUUUACCACUGCUCUAUUUUGCAGAAGGAACAAUCCAGUUAUUGUAGACACCUGAUGUUACAAUUCAGGAAAAGUAAAAAAGAAUUACAGCAAUUCUAAUAAAAAAGACAUAAAAUAAUUUUAUACAUACUUUCUGGUGGAUAAUAUAACCUAAGUAUAUGGAUCAAUGAUUAGGAUAUCCACUUACAGAUAAAACAUUCUUCAUCACAGAAGCACAGUUUAUCAAAAAGGCAAGGCUGAACCCAGAUAGCAUUGCUAUGUAAGUGUAACUUGUCAAAAGCGGUAUCGAUAAAACCUGUACAUACAUAGAAAGUUAUGGGACCAAAACCAUGAAGAAAAGUAUUUUAUAAACAGAUAUGUUUGAAACAAACUAUCAAAUGGUCCAAAUGCCGCAUGAGGUGUUCAAAAUAUUACCCCCUGCAAUUCAUGUUAUGAUUAUUGGCCCAAUAAUCCUCUCGACGUAAGGGUACAGAGUAAGUUGAAAAACAAGGAGAAUGAAACCUAUAGUAAGUUCAAAAUGAGGACAAUCGACAAUCGUCAAGCAGUUUUGUGGGGGUGAUGCAUGCGAAAGCAAGUACAGAAAACAAGUAACAUUUUUAGUUUCGUAAUAAGUUUGGUGCUGAUCGCGCAAUAUUUCACAUGCAUAUGCCUCGUGGUGUAAGAGAAGUUUGAGCACAAAUAUUUACAGGAACUAAAUUGGAAUUAUCAAUAAAUACCCCCAAUCAACACCUUUAUUGGUCCAAGUAAACCAUUCAAUUGAAAGAAAUUGAGAGAAAAUAUUGUUUGGUUGCUGAGAAAAUAUCUCAGAAAAUUUCCAGAGAACUUUCGGAUUUCUUGUAUUUAUUUUUCUUAGAAAGAAAUGUUAUGAUUACAACUUAUUUAUACUCAAAACUCAAGGAUUACUAAAGCUAAUGACUAACUAAUUCAGUAGAAUCUCCACAUGCAUAACCACAGCUCGAUAUACAAAGUAAUCACACCAGACUGUUAACUACUUAAGCUGAGGUGGCAGCUGAGCUGUCAUUCUGCUUACAUUCAUCUGACAUCACCAGCUUGCUGGUUUUCCUUAGCUUGUGCAGCUUCCUCUUUUCUGCACAAUGAGCUUCUCUAACAGCCCCCCUCAAACUCAAAGGACAAGAGUGAACAUUGAGUUUGGCCCUCAAGUAAUUAAACUGUAUGAAGGAAAGAGGUUUAGUCAUUAUGUCUGCAACUUGAUCUGCACUUGCUAUAUAUUGAAUGCUGAGCUCCUUAUUAAGAACCUUGUUGCGAAUAAAAUGUAUGUCAAUCUCAAUGUGUUUUGUUCUGGAAUGGUAAACUGGGUUCUUGGCCAAUUCAGCUGAACUAAUGUUAUCACACCAAAUAAUAGGUUUAGCUAUGCAGCAUACUCCAACUUCAGCAAACAAGGACUGUAACCAAGUUAAUUCUGCACUAGCUGAUGCCAAUGCCCAGUACUCACUCUCGGCACUUGACCUAGCUAUUACUCCUUGCUUUUUAGAAGACCAUGAUAUAAGAUUAUUACCCAGGUAGAUACAAUAUGCACUCACUGAUUUCCUGUCAUCUAAAUCACAUGCCCAAUCAGCAUCUGUAAAUCCAGUAAGCUCUAUAUUGCCUUCUUUAAUGAUCUUUAAACCAUAGUCCUGAGUGGCCUUUAGAUAUCUUAAAACCCUUUUACAUGCCAUGAGAUGCUGUAGUGUAGGAGCAGAUACAUACUGACUGAGUUUGUUAACUGCAAAAGCAAUCUCAGGUCUUGUCAAAACCAGAUACUGCAUGCUUCCAACAAUGCUUCUAUAGUAUGUAGGAUCUUCAAGAUAAUGACCAAGCUGUCCUUGAACAGACUUCUGUAACUUCAGACCAGUGCUUAAAGGAGUAUCAAUGCCCUUACAAUUAAUCAUAUCAACCUUAGCUAACAAAUCUCUGAUGUAUUUCCUCUGAGACAGAAAUAUGCAAUCUUCAUCAUAUAAGACUUCUACCCCAAGAAAAUAAGAUAAAAUGCCAAGAUCUUUUAAAGCAAAAGUUGAGCUUAGUGUUGCAAUAAAAUGUUCUAAUUCAGCACUGCUAGGACCUGUAACCAAGAUAUCAUCCACAUAUAUCAACACAAGAAUCAUGGAAGUAUGACUCCUUUUCAAAAACAGAGAUGUAUCAGAAGUAGUAUUAGUGAAUCCCCACUGCAGCAAGCAGCUCUUAAGUUUAUCGUACCAAGCUCGAUGAGCUUGUUUAAGUCCAUAAAGAGACUUGUGCAAUUUACACACAUAACCAGGCUUUGUGUUGUCAAUAAAACCUGUUGGCUGAGACAUAUAAACUUCUUCUGUCAAAUCCCCAUUGAGAAAUGCAUUAUUGACAUUAACUUGUCUAAUUUUCCAUUUGUUCAUCACUGCUAAGCUUAAUACCACUCUGACAGUUGCUGGUUUAAUAACUGGACUAAAGGUUUCAAAGUAGUUUACCCCUGCAAUUUGUUGAAAACCUUUGGCAACAAGCCUAGCUUUGUAUUUGGCUACACUCCCAUCAGUGUUGUAUUUAAUCCUAUACACCCACUUAUUAUCCACAAUCUGUUGAUCAGUCUCUUUAGGAACCAAGGACCAAGUAUUAUUGUGAACUAAGGCAUCAUACUCAUCUUGCAUAGCCUUCACCCAUCUAGAAUCACUCAAAGCCUCUUGCACUGAAUCUGGUUCUUUGUGAGUGAGAAUGGUUGUAUACACUUUUGGUUUAAAAGUGCCAGAUUUGCUUCUGGUGCUCAUAGGAUGAAUGUUGGAUUGUAUUUGAGGUAAGUCAACAGGAGGAGUUAAUGAUGUUGUAUUAUCAGAAACAGAGGCAGAUAAGAAAUAUUGUGUAUUAACAGGUAGAUGAGUUUGAGAACUUACUUGCUGUGAAUUUUGAUCAUUUGUUGUUUGUGCAGGAUUUUCUGAGUGAGUUGAGUUGCUGCUAUCAGGGUUUGCAGAUAAGGAAUAACCAGUGCUAUUUUCAGUAAAUGAUUGAACAACAGGCAAAGUGGAAAGAUGAUAUAUUUGCUGAGGAGAAAAGGAAGUAGAAGAAAGAGGUGAUGAUGAUGACUCCGUGAAACAAUGAAAGCUAGAAUCAGUAGAGUAAGAAAAAGUGAGUUCAUCAAAUAUGACAUGUCUUGCUAUGUAAAGAUGACCUGAAGGAUGUAAGCACUUGUAACCUUUGUGUGAUGAACUAUAUCCUAGAAAAAUACAUUUACUGGAAUGAUAGUCAAAUUUGUGUUGGUUAUAAUCCCUCAAGUAAGGAUAGCAUGCACAACCAAAACACUUAAGCAUAUCAUAGUUGGGUUGGUGUUUGAAAAGUUUCUCAUAGGGAGACAAAAGUUUGAGAACAACAGAAGGCAAUCUAUUUAUGAUGUACACAGCUGUAUGAAAUGCUUCCCACCAAAAUUUAAAGGGUAAUUUAGAUUGAGCUAGCAGUGUAAGUCCCAUUUCAACAAUAUGCCUAUGUUGUCUCUCAACCAAUCCAUUUUGAUGAUGAGUGUAUGGGCAGGAGUGUCUAAAAAUGAUACCACACUGAUUUAAGAACUCAGUGAAAGGUCUGUACUCACCCCCCCCCAAUCAGAUUGUAACUGCUUAAUGGUGGUUUGAAACUGAUUUUCAACCUGUGUUUUGAAAAGCUUAAAGACACUUAGAGCUUCAGACUUAAACUUUAGAGGGUAGAUCCAGGUAAACCUGCUAAAAUCAUCCACAAAACUGAUAUAAUAGUGAUAUCCAUCUCUAGUGUAGACAGGUGAAGGACCCCAGAGAUCUGUAUGUAUCAGUUCUAAAAACUUGGUUGUUUUGGUUGUGGAUGAAGGGAAAUGAAGCUUAUGGCCUUUGCCCAUUUGACAAGCUUCACAGAUGUAUUGCAGUGCUUGUAUUAUUUGAUUAUCAGAAAAAUUUGCAGACUUGAUGUUUUUGAGAACAAGCUUUAAGAUAUAUUGAUUGGGAUGACCAAAUCUAUUAUGAAACAAAGCAAUCUUAUUCACUGAUGUUGUACAAGAUAAUGCAGUAGAUGAAUAACAAGAUUUUGAAUGGCUACAAUCUGCAUUAUUAACAUCAGUUACAGAAUUAAAAUGAAAACAUCACAACAUUGACAUUGGCUUAUUUGAACUGAUCUGAGAUAGAAAAGAUGAUUUAGAGAAUGAGUAUGGUUUGAAUAACAGCCUGUAUAAUCCUCUUUCAGCAAUACCCUGUAGCAGAACUUCCCCCUUCAGAGCAUCCUUCACAUAACAAAUAUUUCCAAGAAAUUCAACAGACAAAUGGUUAUCAGAUGUGAGUUUAGAAAUACUCAAUAAAUUUUUGGUAAUUGAAGGGACAAGAAGAAUAUCUUUCAGUACUAUGUGUGGGUGUUUGUGUUGAGCAAAUGAAGUUUUAAAAACAAAUUUAGCAUCACCAACAUGAGUUAUGGGCAAACCUUGUCCAUUUCCAAUGAUAAGCUGAUCAGAACCAUUGAAUUCCUCUCUGACCUGUAUAUUAGCCAUGUUGUUGGUUAAGUGAUGAGUUGCUCCACUAUCAAGAUACCACCCUUCAUCAGCAGGCCCUUCAAAAUUUGCAAGAUAAGCAGCUCCAGGUGCAGAAGACAUUUCAGAUGAACAAUGAGGCAUAGAAGAAUAUGUCACUGGAUCCAGAUUGUAAGACUGAUAAUUUAAGCAGUUCAUAGCAUAAGAAUCAUCAAAAUAUGGUGCAAACUCAGCAUGUGAGUUAAAUGUAGUCAUAUAAGCUGACUUAGGUCCUCUUCCUCUACCAAAAUGCCUUGACUGUGGCACAUAAUUCUCAAUAUAUAUGUGCCAACAAGCAUCAGCUGUGUGCCCUGACUUAUGACAUAUCUGACAAACAGGAAUGUUAUCAUCUGAUUCAGUUCCAGCUAACACAAAACCUUGACCAUAAGGCUUAGGAUGUGAUAAGACUUUGUGAAACUGCAUUGGCAUAGAGUUGCCUCUUCCAAAAUUAUGACCACUGUUAUUAAAGCCUCUAGGAUAUGUAUUAAACAUCAUUCCUCUUCCAGCAUUUCUGUUUCCAUUAUGAAUUUGUCCACGAUAUCCUCCAUAACCAAAACCUCAUCUUCUAUUAUUCCCUCUGACUUGAGAAUAAUUGGAAUUCAUCACUCUAUAGUUAGCAUUGAACAUGACUUUAGUAUUCUGAUUGGUCUGACUUUGUUCUAAUCGUGCCUCAUGUGUUAACAGUAAGGCAUAAGCAUCAUCAUAAGACAUCUUAUUAGCUGUGAUAAUAGAUGCAAGAUCUAAAUAACCAGUCCCUAAUCCAUUUAGAACUUGCAUUAACAAAUCCCUUUCUGACAUAGGACUACCAGCACAGGCAAGUUUAUCAGCUAAUAUUUUGACUUUUAAGCAAUAUUCUUCAACAGACAUGGAUUCCUUUCUAAGUACAUUCAAUUCAUAACGAAGUUGCAUUAUUUUAGCUUCAGACUGAGCUCCAAAUUGUUUCUCAAUAGAUCUCCAAGCAUCUCGUGAAUUGUCACAGUUAAGAAUAGAACUGAGAAUACCUUCAUUAACUGAUGGUAACAGCCAGCCAAGUAGUAUUUGAUCUUGAGCUCUCCAAUUUAUGUAUGCUGGAUUAUCCACUUUCUGCACUGAUCCAUCAGCUGUUGUUUGAAUGAUAUGUUGCUCUGGUAUGAUCUGAUUUUCAGAUAUGAAAUCUUCAAGCCGAUUUCCUCUGAUUGAUGUAAGAACUUGUUUUCUCCAGAUUAGGAAAUUAGAUCGAUCUAGUUUUAUUGGAUUACUGAAUGAGAAUGAGAUCUGUGAAGGUUGAUUUGCAUUUGUUGAAUUUGAAAGUGUUGUUGUGUUGCUGGAACUAGCCAUAUUGGCUCUGAUACCAUGAAAUAAAUUGAGAGAAAAUAUUGUUUGGUUGCUGAGAAAAUAUCUCAGAAAAUUUCCAGAGAACUUUCGGAUUUCUUGUAUUUAUUUUUCUUAGAAAGAAAUGUUAUGAUUACAACUUAUUUAUACUCAAAGCUCAAGGAUUACUAAAGCUAAUGACUAACUAAUUCAGUAGAAUCUCCACAUGCAUAACCACAGCUCGAUAUACAGAGUAAUCACACCAGACUAUUAACUACUUAAGCUGAGGUGGCAGCUGAGCUGUCAUUCUGCUUACAUUCAUCUGACGUCACCAGCUUGCUGGUUUUCCUUAGCUUGUGCAGCUUCCUCUUUUCUGCACAAUGAGCUUCUCUAACAAAAGCCCCAAGGAGAAACCUUGUAGCUAUGGCCAUCCAGAAAUUCACACUAAGCCCAAAAAGAGUGUUAAAAAUAAACCCUGUGAGCAUUUUAAGACAGACAAGAAAUCCAGAAAUUGCCGAAGUAUCAUCAAUUUCAAGCUUGAUCAUAUGAAAAUAGAAGUCACUAACACUGUGAUGCUUCCUAUUAUUAUUACAGGCUUUCGACCACAGCGGUCAGCCACCAUUUCUCACAAAACAGAUGUUAGAGCUCGGCCAAGCAUGUAUGAAGACCCUUCAAUUUCAUCAAGGUAUUAAGAUGUUUGUUAGGAUAACUUCUUGAGGAAUUUGAACUGUUAUAUUGGUCGUACGUACAUACACACACACACACAUACAUACAUAUAUACAUAUAUACAUACAUAUGUAAAUCGUUUCCAGGUGCGAACAUAUGUACUUUUUAAAGCAUAGACUUGGCCCUUUAAAGUUGUAAAGACGCGGGUCCGUAUUGUAAAGCUCUUGUACAGUGCGUUUACAGUGAUGUAAAGUCUCGGUAGAAUGUCUUCCCAGAGUUGUAAAGGCGUGAGUCAGCACUUUAUAAGGCGUGGACAUUCGUACCCAAGACGGACUCCAUACUGUGUGUCAGAAUUUGUUAUACCUUUUUUCUCUUCGUGUGAACGCAAGUUAGAGUGACAUCUAACAAACCACUGCGCAACUUCAAUUUCAUCAUGGUAUUAAGAGGUUUGUUAGGAUAACUUCUUGAGGAAUUUGAAGUGUUAUAUUGGUCAUACACACAUACAUACACACAUACAUACAUAUAUACAUCCAUACAUGUAGAUAUGUAAAUCGUUUCAGGUGCGAACAUAUGUACUUUUUAAAGCAUAGACUUGGCCCUUUACAGUUGUAAAGACGCUGUGAAGCGUUUGUACAGUGCGUUUACAGUGUUGUGAAGUCUCGGUAGAAUGUCUUUGUAGAGUCGUAAAAGCUUGAGUCUGCACUUUAUAAGGUGUGGACAUUCGUACAAAAAACGGACUCCAUAUUGUGUGUCAUUUAUUAAAUACAAUAAAAAAACAUAGAAUAACUCACCCACGUAACCAGCAUAGAAUCCAAUAUCUUGAUCCUUUUUGCAAUGUGAAAAUUCCUAAACUGAAAAAAAAUCAUAAAUGACUGCUGUGAAAAAGCAAUGAAUUAUUUGAAAUAUAAAACUUGUCUUUUCUUAUAUUUCUCAGAAAAUCACCAAGCAUGAUAGGAAAAUAUAAAUUUUCUCACUAAUAACCACUACGCUGAAGGCAAUAAUAAUCCACUCACCAUAAAAUAAAGGAAGGGAAAGAGAGAUGCGACCGGCAGAACUGAAAAAAAAAAUCACAAAAGAAUUGAAAAUCAUUGUAAAUGGUUCUCUCCAAAAUCAUUAUAUCGAGUUGAAGUUGAAAAAUUUUCCAGUUGCAAGCACAACAAUCCAAAUAAUUAAAAGCUUACGAAUUGGUAAGCCUCGUUCCGACUCUUUAAGCUUAUCAACCUUACAGCCUGAGCAGUUCUUAUAAUAUUUCUUCUUCAAUAGCGGCUCUCUCACUUUCCCCUCCGCCAUACUUGAAAAAUUUUCAGCUCAAGUAAUCGUCUUUGUCUAUUCAAUCCUAUUUCAAUGCUUAAAUAUAAGUACUUAGAAAAGAAGUAACAAAAUCAAUACAAAAGAAUCAAUGAGCUUAAGGAUAUAAUCAAACUAGAGAUAUAGUGAUCAUUUAAAGAAUUUUCAACAGAAUUCUAAAAUCAGUUGAUUUUCCAGCUGGGUCUGUCACCACCAUGGUAAUUAAAAUUAUUGGAUCCCAUGCAAAACAAAAAUUUUUCAUUACAUGCCCUCAUAGCUGACGUCCAAUUAAUCAUUACUCUUAUGAGAAUAAUUUUUGGUGACAAGAACAGCGGCAUCCUUGGACGUGGCAAAAUAAUCACAAAAAUCCCUUAUUUUAAAAAAUGAUCAUGAAAAUUUAUUGAGGAACACACAAAUUCAGGAUCUGUGUAACUAUUGUUAAAUACAAAAAAAGGUCUAUAUGCAUUAAAAAAGAGUUUGUAUGUUCAUUUUUUAAAAAUAAGGGAUAUUCAUGAUUACCAUGUUAAGCCACGAGAUGUCGUGUUGUUUUCUAAUUUUUCAUUAAAUCGUUGUUACACAAUUCGACAUGUAAAAGUAAUUUUUUUUUUUUGAGAGAUGGUAACAAACAUAGUGACAAAACUAUCAUAGUACCGUCUAAUGAUGAAACUAAUUGUUAAUUAAUUAAUAAAAAUACUAAGUGAUUGUAACGGUUCCGGUCACAGUCACAGUCAAAUAUAAUUAGGAUAAUUUAAUUUAAAUAAUGUGUAAUUAAAAAAAAAACCCUUUUUCCUUCGCCGCCUCUAUAAUUUAAUUUUGGGUUUGAUAUCUUUAGUUUUAAGAUUUUUGAUUAUUGGGUUUCUUUUUAUUGAAUUUUCUUAGUAUGAAUUUAUUUUGUAAAAGAAUUUUACAAUGAAAUUUGCUCUCAAGGAUUUUGGUAUCAUUAGUUUAGGGUUUCUUUCUAUUGGGUUUUAUUUGUUUUGGUGGGAUUAUUGGACUUAUUUUGUAAUGUACUGAUGAAUGUGUGUUUGAUUUUUUUCUUUCACAUUGGAAUCAUGCUUUGCCUCUGAUUUUGUAAUUUACUAGGUUUAUAAUCUUGGGUUCGUAAUCCGGAAAAAAAUCGUUUCCAUAUAAUUUUAAAAAUAUUAUAAUAAAUUUUUACUUUUUGAUUUAAAUUUUAUUAGUUGUAAGGGUAUGUUAGUACUUAUAUACCCAAUUCAUUUCAAAAUAGGGGUAGUAUAGUCUUUUAAAUUUAUAACAGCCUAAACAGUUAGAAUUAGUUGAUUUUUUUAACAGAAAUAGGGGGAGGUGCAUAUGGUCAAAAGAUGUGGGUGCGCUGUGUGAAAUACUGAACAAUUGGGAGCUGAUGCUUAAUGGAAGGAACAAAAUUCAGGAAAAGAGGAAUCAAAGUGCAAAAUGAAUUAGGAUACCUGAAAAGAAAGAAUGAAAAUAACUUUUUUUUUUUAAAUUAUUUAUUUGGACAUUGUGACAAACAAGUGAUGUGCAUUGUUAAUUCAGAUUGCCCAAAAUGUCAAGUCUUGAAAAACGACAACAUUACAUGAUUCAUGAGAAGCCUAUCACUUUGAGAUUAAUUUAAUUAAAAAAAGUUCCGUUUGCUUAAUACUAAAAUGUCACGCGCAAGUUGUCCUGGACUAGAGAGUCGUUCACCCGUACUUACACCCAAAAGUCACGAGGAUCAAAACCAGAUCUGUCACUGCAUUUGCUUGAAAAAUGAUUUUACUAAUAUAAAAUAUUAGUAAAUAUAUAUUUUGAAAAAUUAAUAUUCGUGUUUCGAUAGCUUUCUAAGUGGUUUAUUUACAGGUAUUCAAAAUAUAUAUAUUUAGUAAUUUCUAUUAAAAUUUUGCGACAAUUGUUUGGCUGGAAUAUUUUUUUAUAAGAAAAAUAGCGAUCUCACACUGAUCCACAGUUGAGCCAAUUACCUAGUUAAAAGCUACCUCAAUAUUUUUUAUUUUUACCCUAAUGCAUGUCUGAUUCUUUUAAAAUUUUACGUUAUAUAUAUUAAACAAAAAUUAUAAUUUUAAUCAUUGAAAAAUUAAUGACAGACAUCUUUUGAAUAAUUUUUUUUUGAAAAAUACAGAGCUAGAGAUAAUGCUAUAAUUGAUUGAAUAAGAAGGCUACAACUUGAUGAUAACUUUAUUGCAAUGUUGCGUGAUCUCAAUAUAUUAUUGGCUUGUGUGAGUAAAAGCUGCUGGCUCUUGUUUUACUAAUUUGCCUUUGUAUUUGACUGGCUCGACAAAGAAUCGAUUUACCUCAUACUCAAAUUACAAACAUCGAAACCGGAUCUGUCAUUACGUUAAUUGGCCUCCUAAAAUAAUCAAUCACUUUCUCUUUAGUCUACCAUCCACUCUUUCCAGUCGCUUAGUUUCAUUCUAAUCAUCUAAACGCUCUUUGCUACUGUUUCUUCUAUUCGUCAUUGUUCUUGUUCUGUUAUUAUUUAGCUUUGCUCACUCCUCAGUCUCAUUUCUUAUUCUGUACCCAUCAGCUCUUUUAGCUCUUUACGUCGUGAUCGAAACCCUUUUCUUGUUUCCUUCAUUUCAUCUGAAAAACACGAACUGCCUGUCCUAUCGCUGUCUCUUUGUUUUUACUUUCCUUUGGCUUUCUUAGCUUCUACGUUUUUGUCAGGAUUCGAGAUGCUGGAAAUCAUUGCGACUAUCGUCUUGGAACUUGUAAAAUGCUUGGCUCCUCCAACUGAACGCCAACUUGUGCAUUUGCGAAAGCGGAACUACAAUGCCAACUUUGAGAAUAUCAAGGCGGAAAUGGAGAAGUUGAAGGUUGAACGUGCGAGCAUUCAGCGCAGGGUUUCAGAGGCGAAAGAAAAAGGGGAAGAGAUUGAAGAGAAGGUUGAAAAGUGGCAGGUUAGUGCGAACGGCAUCAUUGACCGGGCAGCCAAAUUCAUUGAAGAUGACGAGUCAACGAAUAAGCGCUGUGUCAAGGGCUUGAGUACUAUUUGGAAGAGUCGCUAUCAGCUUAGCAAGAAAGCAGAGACGGAGGUGAAGGCCAUUAUUGAACUUGGAGAAGAAGUUAAGAAGUUUGAUACUGUUUCCCACCGUACCAUUCGGGAGCAGAUACGGCUUAAGUCUAGCAAUGGUUACGAGGCCUUCAAAUCAAGACUUUCUACUUUGCAGUCUAUAAAAAAUGCAUUGACGGAGGCGAAUGUCAGCAUUAUUGGGGUGUACGGCAUAGGCGGCAUUGGAAAGACCACACUGGAAACAUCUUGAAUUGGAGAAGAAGCUGUUUUAUCGGGUGGUUUUAUCAGAGGUUUCAUAAACUCCAGAGAUAAAAAAGAUUCAAGGGGAAAUUGCAGAGAAGUUAGGUCUGGAGUUGUCCGAUGAAGCUGAAUAUAGAAGAGCUAGCAAGCUGUAUGACCGAUUGAAGAGUGAGAAUAAGAUUCUUGUGAUUCUAGAUAAUAUCUGGAAACAUCUUGAAUUGGAGACGGUUGGAAUUCCUUUUGCAAAUAAUCAUAAAGGAUGUAGACUGUUGCUGACAGCACGAGAUAAUACUGUGCUUUUAAGUAUGGGCUCCAAAGAUAACUUUUUGAUUGGCAAUCUAACUGAACAAGAAGCCUGGAGAUUGUUUAAGAUAAUGAAUGGUGAUGAUGUUGAAAGUUUUAAGUUCAAGUCUACAGCAAUUAAUGUAGUUAAGGCAUGUGGAGGUUUGCCCAUUGCGUUGAGGGCACUGAGAAACAAGAGUCUCCAUGAAUGGAAGAAUGCCUUGCGAGAGCUCCGAACGCCUUCAAUGGUAAACUUCGAAGGUGUGUCUGCAGAGACUUAUUCAAGUAUUGAGCUGAGUUUCAAUUAUUUAAAAGGUGAGCAAGUCAAGAAAAUUUUUCUGCUUUGUCGUCUAGUAGGUAACAGUGUUUGGUUUUCAGACUUAUUUAGAUACUCCAUGGGUUUGGGCAUAUUUCAAGGAGUCAACAUUCCCUUCAUAUUUACCAAAGGUAAGUGAUAAAUCCUACAUAUCCCACUCAAGAAUGCAUAUGUUUUUUCAAUCUCAAGUACCUAAAGUUUUCUUCUACGUUUAUAAAAAUUUCAGCACCAUCUCCCUAUAAUUCUCCAAGCUCACGACACAGCUAUAUAAGUGUUUAUGCGUUAUGCCAAAACAACACAUGACACCCAUUCACCUAGUACGUACCCAGAGAACACGAGGAGCAGCUACCGAAAAAGCCAUUUUUACGUGGGAAGAAAACUUCAGCUACUAGCUACCAGAGAGAACUAUGCAUUCCCAAACUGUCCAAGCCUGGACAAUUCAAGAAUUAUUAAUAGACAUAUGAUCCUCACUAUCAUCCAAAGAUGACACUAAUACAACAUGUGUCUAUUAAUAAUUUCUUAAACAAGUCUAAGCUUUCAAUGCACGUAUCAAAAGUUUAAAAUUGAAUCUGAAAUUUGAAUAGCACAUAAAUAUCAUAAAUCUCUUCAAUUUAUUCCUGAUACAAUGUAGCAUUAUUUCACAUAUCAUUUCUUAAGCAAAACCAUAAAAAAUACAAACGAUAAAUACAUUUUCCCACUGAUGCAGAUUAUGUUUACUGAGCAAUAAGUUUUAAGCCAUUCAUUUUGAAAUACUUCUGCCUAUUCUUUCAACAUAUAACUAGUACGUACACACAAUUAAUAAAUUAAAAAAAAAAACCUUCUGGUGAAUCUUGCAAAAUCUUCCUUUUUUCUUUUUUUUUUCUUUUUCUUCUUUUUUUUGGGGGUGGGGGGGUGUGUUGGGGGAACUAUGAAUCUUGCAAAUCCUCAAGAAGCUAUGUUAAGACAAGGCCAGCUUACUAUUAGGGUAUGAAAGAUAAAACCUUUUAUUUCCUUUUCAGAAUAAAAAGAACAUUGACAGUGUUAAAAAAAAUCUAGAGGAUUUCAGGCCUCCAGAUCCUUACAAAUCAAGGAUAUUAAAAAAAUUUACUUAGAGGAGAAAGGUUAUGCUCAUUUGUAUCUUGUUAGAAGAAAUUGAUCCAAAGCCUCAGUUUUAAUUAACUUCAUAUAGCCAAUGAUUAGGUGUUUAAAAACCAAUGAAUAUUUUUAUAAGAAAUCGACAAUAUUGUUGAAAGAAAAACCAAAUAAAAAUAAUAAAGCCAAUGAAUAGAUCAAGGCUCUUUGUGGUCUAAAACUAAUCAAACUAAGUUGUGGGCAAAGGCGAAUAUGUUUGUUUGGUCAAUAAUAAGCUCAACAAAUCACUAAUAAUCACCUAAUCACUAUUCCUUAUGCUCUGCAAUAUAAUGGCCUGGGUAAUGGCGCCAAGGCAGAUAAUAACUAGCUAGCCAGUUAUGAUAGUUGAUUAACUUAACCUACUGGAAAUCUGUAGACCAAAACGAAGAAGCUUUGCCUAGAACUAGAAUAGGAACAUUCAUACCCAAAACUGAUAUACACGAUUAAGAAACUUGAUUAUAUGGAUAUUUCUGGUGGCCACACUUAAAGAGAAUUUUCAAAAGAUGCUAAGGUACACCAAAUCCCACUAUUUCAUACUCAUAAACACAAAAACCCAUGGCAAAAAUUAAUGACUAUAUCAAAUAAAAUCAGUCAUAGGACAAUGAGAUUAGGACAACUUGAUUUGUAUACCAUAAAUCUGCAUAGUGAACUAUAUUUCUGUUAGAACUCUGAAGUUUUUCUAUUAAAUUUUUUUCUCUGCUAGGUAAACCACUUUUAACUGAAAUGCUUAAGCCAAUAUUGACAAUCAUAGACAUAAAAGUAUUAAUAGGCUCAUUCAAGUGAAAUGAGCAUUAUUUCACACAUCCUUUAGGUUUUUAAGUUAUUUAGAAGUCAUUCAUGUUAAAAAAAAAAUCAUAUACUUUCAAUAUAAUUAGUACAUACACAAUUAAUUAAUUAAAUAAAUUUGUUUCAGCUAAUAUAGGAACUUAAUUAAUCAAAGCUAGUAGUUAUAGCUAGGACUUGAACGAGGCACCUUUCAAAGUUCAAGAAGAGCAUCUGAACAGAAUGAAAGCAAUUUGUAGAAAUGGUAAUGAUGCUUUACAUCUACAUGCUCUUACACAAUAUGAACUUUCAUUUACUCCAAGCUCUUAUUCUACAAGUCAAUUCAGUUUGUAGACGCACGCCAUUGUAAAAACUUUUGUAUUAUAAUUUCUGAAAAUAGAAUGUAACAUUAUUAAUAUAGAAUCAGCAAUGUAUAUAACUUAUCAGACAAUAUAACAAGCACUUGGUGAGCAUACAAGAUAAACUAAAACAAGUUAUCUAGAAAAUGAAACUAAAACCCAAGCUCCGCUAUUCAUUGUAGAAGCUUUAAACAUAAAAUUAAAGUAAAUCUAAUAGCAAAACAUUAGAAUGGAUAUUGAAAUUAAAGCUAAAUUCAAUAGUAAUUCAAAUGAAUCCAUUUGAACUUUGUAAAUUCCGCAGAACAAAAUUAAUUUGAGUGAGCAAACUCACCAAUGGAACAAGAACACAGGGGCUUCAACUUGUAGGAAUAAAAAAAUAUUGCUGGCGGGACAAAAAUUGACAAUAACAGCUACAAUACGAAUUUUAAAAAAAAUCAAAAUCUAUAAUUACAAGCUAAGUAAGAGAAGAAACUCAUAAUCACAAGCUUAACUCAAAAGAUGAAGGGAGAACACGAUGAAGAAGAAGAUGGCUGGUGUUUUACGCCGUUCGCCGGCAACCAGUUAGGUUUACGAUGGUGGCUAGUAACACGGAGUCCAGCGAAUAGUUUUCUAACUGGAAAUAAAUUUAAAAUUCUAAAAUAGUACCGAACGGCUCAAGCUCUCUAUAUAGUUACUAAUUCAAUUCUCCUUCGAAAGGUUCUCUCUGUCCUAGAGAGAACUUUGAAUGGAAGAGUAAAAGGGUCCUCAUGACUCGAGUAGUCACUCACAGGUGAGUGAAGUAUUUCAUUUCGUUACCUUACAUCCUAGUUCAAGUAGAUAUUCAGGUCCUUUUAUUGGGGUGAGCAGAGUUGGUGAGGGGUAUAAAACACAGGGUAUUAACAACCAAGGCUGUACAUCAAUUUCUCUAUCUGUUAAAAAGAGAGCUUCCAUAAAUAUGGAUACUGAGGAACUGAUUAGGAAAUGCAAAGCUAGGGGAGGAUAAAGAAAAGAUAGUGAACUUUGAGGGAAGCAUGAGGAGCAAAGGAAGACAAGUAGUAGCUGGUUGUUUGGUGGGUAAAAUCCUACACAACAGGAGUGUUAAUCAAGAAGGAUUGAAGAGUGCGCUACAAAUGGUGAGGCGGACAACCAAAGAAGUUCGGAUUGAAAGCUUGGGAAAUAAUGUCUUUUUGUUCAAAUUUGCGCAAGAAGCAGACAAGAAAAGAAUCCUAGCAGGAGGUCCUUGGCAUUUUGACAGAGCAUUGAUAAUCCUCACAGAGCCAAAAGGAAUUGGGGAGGUUACUAGACAAGCCUUCACACAUACUUCAUUUUGGGUACAACUUCGGAAUGUACCAAUCAUGUGUAUGGAAAAGGACAUCCUAAAAGUGUUGGGGGAGCAAAUCGGGACUGUGGAAUAAGUAGAGACGAACGGAUAUGGAGAAUGUAUUAGUGAAAUUGCUAGAAUACGAAUCUCUGUUGAUAUAACACAACCACUGCCCAAAAUGAUUUUUCUCAGACUAGAAGGGGAAGAAAAAAUCCCAAUGCCAGUUGGCUAUGAGCAUCUACCAGACUUUUGUUUUUGUUGUGGACAUAUUGGUCAUAGCUUCAAAGAGUGUGCUCAGUACAAGGGGCAAGCUAAAGAGCAGCUACCAUAUGGGGUCUGGAUGAAAGCGAUCAAGAUAAGUGAAAGAGCAAAACUGAACCGCAGUAGAGUAAAUUGGAGUAGAAACCAUGGGAAAACCGACGGUAAUCCAACAAGUUCAGAGCAAAUUGACAAUGGGAAAUCGCAACAAAGGCGGGUUGAACCAAACCCAGAUAUGGUGCACGGGUCGAAACCAGCAAAUGAGGAAACGGGUCAAAUCAUUGAACAAGCUCGAGAUGCUGAGGUGGAGUGGAAAGCUGAUGAGCAUUUAAUGCAAGAUAUCGGAGGAUCGAAAAAGAAGCAAAUCAGGGACAGUAAGCACGAGGUAGCAGCUGACAAUGGAAAAUCUUUUGGAAAUUCGAGAUUUCAAGCGAGAAAGGAAAAUACGAAAGAGAGGGAAAAUGGAGGAGCUGAUUCAAUUGAAUUAGAUUCGGGUACAGUGGGCUCAGAACACCAAAUUCAAAAAACCAAAAAUCAAGCAAAAAAGGGAACAAAAAAAUAUGGUUUGGAUAAAGGGCCACGCAUGAACUACUCGAGGCCCAAUAGAAGGAAAUGGAAGCUGCAGGCUCGGGCAACAUGUAACAAGAGUGGAUGCAAGGCUAGUCCAAAGGUUUCAAAAAGCUCAAGUUGUCACCUAAUUGGACCAAGCCCAAAACACAAAAACAUAAAGCUUGUUAGCCCGAUUAAAUCAGCAAUGAAGCAAAAACAAGAAGGCUCCCCAGCAGCAAAGCUCAAACUUACUUGGGAGCCGUUGGCAGUGGAAGAAAUGGAGAUGGCAAUUCCAAGCUUAGAAGAGAUAUCGGCGGAGGCUAGUGGCCAGCCCCGCCGGAAGCCAUGAGGAUCCUUAGUUGGAACGUUCGGGGUUUGGGGAAUACCCGAACGUUUCUAGCAUUGCAAAAGAUUCUCUAGUUGCAUAGGCCUCAUCUUUUAUUCUUGUGUGAAACGAAGUUGUUGCCUGCGCAAAUGAACGGGAUUAGUAGGAAGUUGAACUUUGAAAAUUGCUUUAAGGUGGAUAGAAGAGGUAGAGGAGGAGGAUUAGUGAUGUUGUGGAACUCUGAAAUUGAAGUGCAAAUUAAAUCUUUCAGCAACCACCAUAUUGAUGCUAAGGUUCAAACUGAAAAUGGGAAGCACUUUCGAUGCACCGACGUUUAUGGCCAUCAUGAGGCAGGGCAAAAGAAACAUACUUGGACACUUCUGAGGCGGUUGGCAGGAUUAUACCCUUUGCCUUGGUUAUGUUUUGGCGACUUUAACGAAGUAUUGCAUCCUUAUGAAAAAACAUGAGGUAAUGAAAGAGAGCUAAGCUUGAUCAGAAACUUUAGAGAAGCUUUGCGAGAUUGUAACUUAGUUUGACGUGGGAUACAAAGGAUACCCAUUUACCUGGAAUAAUGGGAGAUAUGGGCCUCAUUACAUUGAAGAACAGCUUGAUGGGUUCUUGUGUAACAGGAGCUGGAGUGACAUUUUCUACGAUUGUGCAGCAGCUCAUCUAUCUACUUGGACUUAUGAUCAUUGUCCGUUGUUGAUAGAAGUUCAAGAAAGGGGGAGGGAUUAUGUUGGAAGAGAAAAAAAUCCACUCGAAUUCAUUAUGAGGAUUUAUGGAGCCCAUAUGAAGCUUGCAAAGAAAUAAUCAAGACUGAUUGGAGUAGUUACGGAAGCUAGAAUGAUGCAAAUCCCAUACCCUUAUUUCAAAAGGUGGUUAAAGAAUCAAUGGCUAGGCUGCUUGUGUGGAGCAAGGAAGAGUUUGGAGAAAGAGAGAAGAUGCUGAAGCAGAUUAUGAAUCAGCUGGAGAGGCUGAAACAAAGCUGCGUGCAAUAUGAUAAUGGGGAGGAGAUUAAGAAGUUAGAGGGGCAGAUUCAAGAUAUCCUCAUUGAUGAAGAAAUAUUUUGGAAGCAGCGAUCGAGGGCAGAGUGGUUGAAAGCAGGGAACAAAAAUACCAAAUACUUUCACUACAAAGCAUCAUCGAGGAAGAAAAAGAACCAGAUUUGGGGAAUUGAAAAUGGGUCAGGAAGCUGGACUGAUAAGGCAGAAGAGGUGGAGUAUGAGUUUUACGAAUAUUUCGCAAAACUCUUCACUACAUCAAAGCCAAGUCAAGAAGAAAUUUCGGCAGCAUUAGAAGGCAUCACGCCAAGAGUCUCAAAAGCCAUGAAUGAGCAUUUGGAGCAACCUUUUACACCGGAGGAUAUUACGGAAGCCUUAGCUCAAAUGUCUCCAAUAAAAGCUCCGGGACCAGAUGGUUUUCAAGCAGCCUUCUAUUAGAAGCACUGGAACAUGGUGAAGAAAGGGGUCAUCACAACCUGCCUCCACAUUCUAAAUGAGCAAGGUACUAUGGCUCCUCUUAACCAUACCUAUAUUGCUUUAGUCCCAAAGGUCAGAAAGCUUAAGAGAGUAACAGAUUACAGACCAAUUAGCUUGUGCAAUGUGAUCUAUAGAAUUGUGGCUAAAACGAUUGCAAAUAGGCUGAAACAUAUCCUCCAUCAAGUUAUUUCCCCAACAUAAAGCGCUUUUAUUCCUGAUAGGCUUAUAACAGACAACAUCAUAGUAGGAUAUGAGUGUCUACACAAAAUUAGGCAUAGUAAGGGAAAAAUAAAUGGGCUGGUAGCUUUGAAACUUGAUAUUAGUAAGGCUUACGAUAGAGUCGAGUGGAGCUUCUUAGAACAAGCCAUGACUAGGUUGGGUUUUUCUCCAAAAUGGGUGAAUCUAAUUAUGAGAUGUAUAACUACAGCGUCUUUCGCUGUGAUUAUAAAUGGAGUACCACGAGGAGUUAUCCAACCACAGAGGGGUCUGAGGCAAGGGUGUCCACUUUCUCCAUAUUUGUUUAUCAUGUGCGCAGAAACUUUUUCUUCUCUAAUGUUACAGGCGGAAAGGCAGAAACUCAUUCAUGGAUUAUCAUUCGGCAAAGACAUAAAUAUCUCGCACCUCCUCUUCGCUGAUGAUAGCCUAAUUUUUAUUCGAGCUUCGCCUACGGAUUGUCAGAAUCUGAAAAGAAUUUUUGACUGCUAUACUACUGCAUCAUGACAACUCUUUAAUUUCGAGAAGUCAUCAAUGUUUUUCAGCAAUAACACCAAAGUUGAGCAAAUUUCAGCCAUACAGAAUAUUUUUCAGCUCAAUGUGGUUUCAAGGCAUGAGAAAUACUUAGGUUUACUAUCAAUGAUAGGGAGGAAGAGAAGUAGUUUUUUCCAAGAUGUCAAACUCAAGGUGAUGGAGAAGAUAUCCAAUUGGCAGCAUAAAUUUUUCUCUAGUGGGGGCAAGGAAGUGUUGAUUAAGGCUGUGGCUCAGGCUGUUCCAGCGUAUGCCAUGAGCGUGUUCAAAGUUCCUCUUGGAGUUUGUGAUGAUAUUUAGAAAGCUAUUGCCAAUUUCUGGUGGGGAUCCAAAAAAGAGAAGAGAUGUAUUCACUGGGCGAAAUGGGAAUGACUAAGUAUAGCAUUUAUAAAAGAAUCCUUAGUCUUUCCAUAUAGAAGAACUUACAAAAUAAAUUAGUAAUUUAUUGUUGUGCAAUAAAAUAUUUUCAUGCAAAUAUAAAUCAACCCUUUUUCCCUAAUUUCUUUUUUACAUCUAAAAUUAACAUAUAAAAUAAAUUUUACCAAUAAUUCAAUUUUUUUUUAAAAUAUAAUAUAAAACAAAUACUAUAAAGUCACUGCGUGUGACCGUAGAUCAUCAAUUGACCUCAUUAGUUAUUACGAUUGAUGAUGAUCAGAUCGUACCCAACUUGGAGGAACUAUCACUAAGUGGAAAAGAUGUGAAGAUGAUUUUGCAGGCCGAUUUCCCACAACACCUUUUUGGCAGUCUUAGACAUCUAGAGAUUGCUGCAGAUGACUCAGCUUGUUUUCCAAUCUGGAACGUACUGGAGAGAUUUCACAAUCUCGAAAUACUCAUACUGUGUUAUUUUUCAUUCCACGAAGAGGUAUUUUCGAUGGAAGGAUGCUUAGAGAAACAUGUGGGGAAGUUGGCAAUGAUAAAAGAAUUAGAGCUGUACUGGCACUAUCAUCUGAAGCAGCUGUGCAAACAAGACUCCAAACUUGGCCCCAUUUUUCAGUAUCUUGAAAUUCUAGGAGUAUAUCAUUGUCAAAGUCUGUUAAUUCUAUUGCCAUCAUCAUCGGUAUCUUUUGGGAACCUAACAAAACUUGUAGCUUUCGAUUGCAAGAAAUUGAUACACUUAGUUACAUCCUCCACAGCAAAAACUCUAGUGCGACUCGUAUCACUUUGUGUAUACGGAUGCAGAGCAAUGACAGAGGUCGUAAUAAAUGACAAAGACGGGGUUGAAAAAGAAGAGAUUGUUUUCCGUAAAUUGAAGACGUUGGAACUGCGUGAUUUAGACAGCCUCACUAGUUUCUGCUCUGCCAAUUACACCUUUGAAUUCCCAUCUUUGCCAAUUUUAUUGAUUUCACUACAGGAGAAUCAAUCACGCCUCCGAGAGCAUACGUCUGGCAUGGAGAGACAGCGGGUCAAUGGCUUCGGGCCAAUAAUGUUCUUAACACAACUAUACAACAUUUGCAUGCUGAAAAGGUACGGAUAUACAUACUGCUCUCUAUCUCCCAUGGAAAAAUUUUACAAAAUUUGCUUUUUUUAAUAAAAUAUAGAUAAAAUGUUUGUUAUAAAGUAAAAGUUUAAAUUGAUGAAUAAGAAUUUUAUUUUCAGCUGUUGGCGGUGCCGUCGUCGUUCUCCACCCGGUACUAAUUUCAUAGGCUUCUUAUGACUUGGGAAUUGUGAAUUUUUAGAAGAAAGUCUCAACUAGUAAUUAAUUUUUAUUUCAUUUAUUUGAUCACAUGGCUUCUUUCGCAAUUUCAUCUGAAUUAUUUAGAAUGGGUCACUUGAUUUACUGUUAAAUUUGGAAUGUCAUUUUAAUGAUUCGUUCAGACUUUUAUGGACAGAUUUUGCAUCAUUGAAUGUCUUUUAGUCUAGUUUAAUUUUUUUUUUAUUUGGAGAGUUUCCCUUGUUUUCUAAAAUUGUAUAAUUCCUUUCAUACUUUUUAUGAUAAAAUUUCAUUAAAAGCCUUCAUAUUUUAUAAUUCCAUGAAAUCGUGCGUACUUUUUUCCUAUCUUUCUUCGCCAAUUAUUUGUUUUCAUCAUUGCUGUUCUGUUAUUUUAGUUUGUGCUCUGUUUGUUCAUUUGGUUUGGUUUGCUUCACACCUACCUUUCUUUGGAAACUUAGAAGGCAAAGGAAGUACUUAGAAAAUGCUCUUCCCUAUGAACACAUAAUUAAGAACAGCUGAAAAUCAUUCAUCGGAUAAAAAAAUUAAAAAUAAACAAAAUCUAAUCAGAGCAUUAUGCCUGGAACAAAUCCUUAAGCCAUCAAAGCAAAACUCUUCGCUAUGAAAAACUAUAUUGUGGAAAUAUUGUUUGAAAACGUUGGAUACCAAGAAAGGGACUAAUCUGGUCUAGUUUUAUGAGAAGUGCAGAAGAACAGUAUUUUCUCUGUUGUUCCUAUUAAAAUUCUUUACUCUGUGAUUGUAGAAUGUCUGGAUACUGAUGAAGAUUCAGGUAACUCUUCUUCUGUGCAUCAUUUGAAAUAAGGUCUUUUGUUUUUUUUGGGAAUAUCUCCUACUGGGUUAUAGCUCAUACAAAGAGAUAUUCUCAAAUGAAGCCGGAUACUGGUAGAAACAAGGGAGGAAGUUGGCACUGAUAAAAUGGAUAAUGAAGCAACUCCAAACUGGACUUCAUUUUCAAUAUCUUGAAAUUCUAAGACUAUAUUACUGCUUGUAAAAAUCUUUUAAGUCUAUUCCCAUGAUCAUCUGUAACUUUUGGGAAUCUAACAGAACUGGUGGUUUUCCAUUGCAAAGAAUUGUAACAUCCAUCCACUACAGCAGAAAGUCUAGUGCGGCUCGUAUCAAUGAAUGUAGCUGGAUGCAGGGCAAUGACAGAGGUGGUAAUAGGUGACGGAGAAGAAGAUGGAGCACCAAAUUUAAAUAGAGAUCGUUUUCAGCAAAUUGAAGACGUCAAGUCUGUGUGAUUUAUCUGUGUGAUUUAGAUAGUCUCACAAGUUUCUGCUUUGCCAAUUACGCUUUCAGAUAAAGAUUCUUGAAACUGUCCUAUUUAGAGCUGACAUUUCCACAAGAGUUAAGAGAAUAUAAAAAAUUCAUUAAUCGUUAGUUUUUAAUUUCAUUAUUCAAUGAAAGUCCUGUCAAAUUAAAUUGCCGCUAUUGAAUCUCUCGCUCCCCUUGCAAAUCUCUAUGUGCAAGUACCUAAAUUUACAAAUUUUACUUCAAAUUAAUGAAUGACAUAAUUUAUUUUCAGCUGUUGGAGGAGCCGUCGUCUCUCUCGACGCAGUACGAUAUGUUCUGAUCCCAUAGGCUUUUUAAUUUAUUACAUGGUGCUGUGAAAUUUGAAGAACAAGGUCCCAGGUAACUAUCGUUUUCAUUUCAUUUUGUUUGAUCUCUAAGUUUAUUUUAUCGUUUCAUCUAAAUUAUUUGCAAUGCGUCGGUUGGUUUAUUGUUAAUUUUGGAACAAAGUUGAUGCAACCAACGGUUGCAUAUGAUGAGUAGGAUAUCGCUCUGAGAUCAUAACUUGAAUUAUAGGUAUCUAUCUAGGGCGUAUAAUAUAUCAUUAAUCUAUUACUAUAACAUCGUAUUGGUCUCGUGGUCCAGCUAGAAAUUCUGUUUAUUUCAUAGUUAUUUUACAAGUUUAAGAUAUUUUCUUAUUUUUCUUAUUAUUUUCAAGAUUUUUAUUUUUUUUAUAAAUAUAAGAUUUAAGUACGAUUAUUUUAUUUUUAUUAGAAGAAUGUUAUUAUAUAAUAAUAUUUUAGGUUUGCCUAUUUUGGUAAAUUCGUAAUAUUUAGAAUUAGUAUAAAGAGGGUCCAAAAUCCAAAUUUUGUUAUUCAGACCUCUCUAUUAAUAAAAUUUCAGACUUUUCAAAAACUUGUGUUUCUCUAUAUUUUCAAUCUCAACGUCCAUGUUUCCGUUAUCAUAAAUUCUAAUGCCUGGUUCCAUCAGACCUCUCUAUUAAUUGAGGCUCUUGAAUAAGACUCUUUAUGACUUCAAUAUUUUACUUGAUAUGAAAAUUUCUUUCUAGAUAGAAUCAUUGUGAAGAUAAAUUGUGGUAUUACUGACAAUGAAUAAGUUGAAACAUCAACAGAGAUAAAUAUUGAGCAAUUAAUGUUACCAGCAAUCAAUUUGUGAGCACCAACAACCAUUUUCAUAUUUAAGCCGUUAGAACAGUAACACAAAAUAUGGCGAGUGGCAACCACACAAAUAAUCAAAUUCCUGAUAGAUUUUGAAAACUUUAAUUUGCUAGAUAUGUAUUUUAAUAUUUCAACAGGUGCAUCUUUUCUCUACUCAUGUGGCACGUUGAAUCAGAAACGGUUUGAAUGUCAAUAUUACUCCAAGUGCCUCAACCAAAUUCAGAAUGAAGAAAAUCAUCUGGUUACCUGCACUUUAGUUUAAGCAGCUGAUUAAGUUAAUUAGCACCAAGUAAUUCACAUACUAGUGAGAAAUUUCAUUAGUAAAUUCAUACCUGGGAGGAAACCAGCAUCUUGACGCUUUUGUGACCAAGAAAAUCUGCCAGAACCCCAAUUAAUGAAAAAAAAAUUAUAACAUCAUUUACAUAUAAUUUUAAAAAAUCAAUAGGACACUUACAGAGCACCUCCUACAGCUGGACCGGCAGUUUUGGUAAGCGACACCACUGUCAUAGCAAGUCCAUUAGCAGCUCCUCUUUGAUGCUGUUCCUGUUAUUAUACCAUAAACCAAAAAAAUAAUUUAAACUUUUGACACAUACAAAACUUGAAAAAGCUGAAAGCAUGGAAAUGUACUAAACAAACAAAAGAAAAUAUAUUUACCACUGCUCUGUUUUGCAGAAGGAACAAUCCAGUUAUUAUAGACACCUGAUGUUAUAAUUCAGGAAAAGUGAAAGAGAAUUACAACAUUUCUGAUAAAGAAGAUAUAAAAUAAUUUUUAUACAUACUUGCUAAUGGGUAAUACAACCUAAGUAUAUGAUGGGUGUCGAAGCCAACAAAAAUAAAUUCCUACUCUAAAUAAAUUGUGUAUAGUGAUUGAGCAGGGUCGUGUCCACAGAGAUCGGUAAUUAUUUAAAUCCUUUUGAAACGUAAAACGUAAAAUGGGGGAAUUGUUGACAAUAAUAAAAAUCAAAUUGAAAUAAACAAGAAUGCAAAUUAAAGUUGUAAUUCAAAUUGGAGAAAGCUCUGGUUGAAGGAAUUAACUCAGCUUGAUUCGACUACUGAUCAUUGAUUCAAAUAUAGAUUAUUAUUAUUACUUAUGAAUAGAUCGGUUAUAGCUACUGGGACCCUCUAAUAGCCAAUCUCUCCUUAACUAGUCGAUAACCAAGGUACGACCGUUGGUUAUUUCCCUAAUCAAUAGACAACCCUAGAUACGAUCAUAGGAUUUAAUCAAUUGACAGCCUGAGAAACCAGAGAGACCCAAAUCCUAAUCAACACAUAUGAUGAUUCAUUUAAAUUAGAUUGUUUAUUCUCACAACACAACUCUCUGCUAUGUUAUUUGUCACAAACAUUAAAUUCUUCAUACGAUGAAUCCUUUAAUUGACAAUAGAUUAAGUUGAUAAUUAAAUAGUGGCCAAUUACCUAAUUAACAAACAUAAUCAUGAAACUAAUUUAGAGAAUAAACAAAUACCCAAAAAGCAAUAAAACAAUUAAAGCACAAGAAAGAUCUCACAGUAGUGAUGAAUCAAAGCUUCAUUAUCCUUCAACCAGAAAAAUGGGUUUAGUUCCUUAUAGAGAGAAGAGAAAAAUUAGAUCUAGGGUUUCUUUUUCUCCAAUCCAAAAAUCCCCCUUUUUCACAAUAGAUUCCUCCCUUCAAUACUCUCUCUCUCUUCUCUUUUAGAAUUCUAUUUAAAAUAAAAUACUAAUAUCUGAAAUAUUAAAUUCGUAAUUACAAAAAUAACCAAAAAUACAAAACACGUUAAACUAAAAACUGCAGGUCCGCAGUUGACAGCACGCGCCCACGCCUUAUCAACAAAGUUCUUCUGACGCUCAGAAAUUUCUCCAAGAGAACAAUCCUCCUUAAACAUCAUCUUUUAGCUCAAUUUUAUCAUCAAUCAAUAGAAUUGCACCUACAAAAGUAAAACACAAGUAAAACAUUAUUAUUAAAUGCAAAACAUCGAUAUUAAGGGAAGUAAAUAAUGCAAAACUAGUGCAUAAAUUGCACUCUAACAAAUUCUCCCACACCAAGAUGAUGCUUGUCCUCAAGCAUAUAACUCAAGAUUAAUCCCAAAUCUCCACUCAAUUCUCAUCUCAACUCAUCCAAAAAUAAUUUUAAGCAAGCAUACCUCAAGAAAUUAAGUCGAUCAACAUUCGAGAGACAAGGAUUUUAAAGCAUAGAAUCUCAUAAGAUAGAAUAAGAACAUUCAACCACCAAGAAGAUCCAUUCAAAAUUCAAGUGCAACAAGAUGUAAUAGCCCUCUCAAUAACUUCACUCCAUGCACUCAAAGUGUUUAGGGUGUCAUUUAUCCACUCAAAUCAAAUCAAAGAAUGCUAUUACCAUAAGCUUGCUCAUAAAUCACAUCUCAAUCCACAAAACAUGAAUAAAAUGCAAAAAUCUAAGGGUCUUAAAAGGGUUGUAAUGGGGUUAAAUGGGUUAAAUGAAAAAGAAAGGUUUACGAAAGAAAAAGAGAUCAAAAUGAGAAGAAUGAACUCAUUGAAUGAACUUAUGAUAUCAAAAUGCUUAUUUCUACUCAAGUCACCAAGAAUGUAAACAUUUUUUUUUUCGAUUUUUCUUUUUCUUUUUUUUUUCUUUUUCUUUUUUUUUCUUUUUCCUUUUCUUUUUCUUUUUUUUUCAUUUUUUUUUGUUUUUUUUUUUUUCGAAUCAAACAAAAGAAACGAACCUUGCACAAUUGAAUUCAAGCAUAAUGCUUGUUGAUCUAAUUGAGAAACUUUAAUACAAGGUAGAAAAAGCAACAAAAUAUAUCCAUACAAUGAGUCCAAAAAUCUCCUUAAAUUGAGGCUCAAAAAGAAGAAAAAUGGUUAAGUAGACGGAGAGAAUUAGAUGGGUAAUGGUUAAGGCUCAAACAAAGGUAGCAAAUAAAGGUCUUCGGGUAAAGAAAAAUGAAAAUGCGAGAAUAGAAAAAUGGUAAAUGGUUUGCCCUUAUCAUUUUAAUGCCUAAAAUCCCGUAAUGUGGCUUCAACAUGCAUAACAAAGCAAGUUCUAGAAUAAACAAACUAGGAUUGAUAUUCACAUAACAAAAAUAAUUAGAGCAAAGUGGUUGCUCAUAGGCUCAAAUCCUCACAAAGUUGGUAAAUUUGCCAUCAAAUCAUGUACACUCUUCAAAUGAAUCAACCAUCAAUAGUGGUGUAGAAUGAGAAGAAGGUAUGAGUGAUAUAUAAAAGGAAAGGUAAAAAUGAUAAGAAGUGAGAAAGAUGAAAAGUGAAAGAUAAAAUGUGAGUGAUGAAAGAGUAUGAUAGAAUAAAAAUAGAUGUAAAUAAUUUGAGAUAGAUGGGAAAAAAAAAAAAAGUAGUGAGAAAUAAAAGAAAAGAAAAAAUAAUAAUAUAUAAAGCAUACUAACUCCAAAAUCAUUUAAGGAUGAGUAGAGUGAAAAAAAAAAAAGAUAAGUAGAGUGAAAACAAUAAUUCCAGCAUCAAUAAUGCAAAAAUCCCUCCCCCACACCAAGAACUUACAUUGUCCCCAAUGUAAGAUAAUCAAAGCUCACAUAAAAAUUAAAGCAUAAGGAUAAAAGUUAAAGGGCAAAAAGAAACUUCCCUGAAUUGUGAGCUUUGAUCCACAUAACGUCUAUGGGCUUGGCGGAAAUGGUGGGGUAAAUCCCACACUCUCAAAGUAUGCGGCCAAAUUCUGCUCCAUUUUGUUCAACUUGUGCUCCAUUUUCUCUAACUGAAUGCUCAAAGGUGGUGCGGAUGUAGAAGGAAUAGUUGGCGGGGCAACAGUGUCGUCGUCAAACUCGUCAUCAGAGGUAGCACCACUCCUAGCAUAAAGCUUCUUCGGAAGUUGAGUGGGUCCUGGUUCAGUAAACUGAAAUCUCCCCUCCUUGAAUUCAACCACACCUGUUCUUUCAAACACAAACAUAUCCAAAAAUUCCUUUUUGCAAGCAGGAUGCAAAUCAUUAUUGUCAGGAUCAAGCACACAUAGGUUUAUAGCUAACAGAGUAAUGUAUGGACCAAGAAAUAAAGUCCUAUACCGUUUAAGCACACUUUGAAAUUGAUCCGCUAACCAAAAACCUAAAUUAGGCCUCACAUCAUUUAACAUGCACCAGAUAAAAUAAAAUUCAGUUUUAGAGAAAAUUCCUGAGUGAUAUUUCUUGCCUAAAAAAUUAUAUGCUAAGAAUCGAUGCACACAUUUCAAAACAGGAUCACGUAAGAAAGAACUCUUUGAUUUACUCGGGUCAUAGGCAUUGUGAUCAACAGAUAAAUUACGCCAAAGACCAUAAGGCUCAAAAUUUUUGCUAAAGUCACAAGUUGUUCCUAAAUAUUCAUCACUAGUAGAAUAAUCAUCAUCAAUGAAUCCUAAAGCUAGGUUAAAAUCCGUGAUAGAGUGUGAAAAACUUCGUCCCAUUAACCUAAACUUAAUGACAUCCGGGGUAUGCAAAGUAAAAUCAUUCGGCAUAGUGAAUUGAAAAGUAGCAUAAAACUCCCUAAUCAACUCAACAUAACCCAAGCAAUCAACAUCAACAAACUUACGCAACCCAAUCUUAUCUAUCAAAGAAUCAAAAUUAUCUUUAACAUUUAAUUUUUCAAGAGUCGGGUAAUGAAUAUACUUAGCUGGAAGUAUUUUGCGCGUGGAAAUAUCUUUGUACCUCUCUUUCUCUUGUUGAGUCGCGAAUGCGAGGCACCCUCCGAGAUUGGAUUCCGCAAGUGGCAAAACACUCAUGCCUUUUUCAUGCUUCGAUCUUUGUCUCACGGCUUGGCGUGAAUCUGAAAUUAUGUUCCAUGGAACCGUAGUGGGAGCGGCAAUCUUAGAUUUCUUUGCGACGGGUGUCUUUUUCGACGACUUGGAAGUAGAUGCUUUCCUCUUCGGCAUUGUUACAAUAAUUGCACUCACGGAUUUCGAUUUACUCGGCUGGAAUACAGGGCGUAGGCUGGUUGUGUUGCGCUUGCUGCUCGGCUGGAGCUUGUUGCGCGAGUUGGGGCUGGUUGUGCGCGCUGCUGAGGCUUGCUUUGCGGGUGCUGGUUCGUUGCUGUGUUGCGCGCACGGGGCUGUUGCGCGGGAGAGCCAGUUCACGUUGCGGGUCUGCGUUGCGGAUCUGUUGCGCUGCGCGCGCGGGACUGAUGUGCUGUGCUGAGGCUGAUUCGCGCUGCUGCUGGUUGCGGUGCGCGAUGCUGUGCGCGGCGGCUGGGGCUGCUGGAGCUUGCUGCUGGUUCUGGGCGUACUCGUCUGCUGCUGCUGGUUGCGCGGUGAAGGCUGGAGCUGAUGCUGCUGUAAAACGAUAAUCAACAGUAAUUUUGGAAUUAGGGAUUUGUAAACAGUGAUUUUCGAUUUUUGGUUUUUUUUUUUUUUAUAUAUAUAAAUAAAUAUAGAAAAGAAAGAAAGGAACGAAAAUAAAUAAAUAAAUGAUGAUUUUCGAUUUUCGAUUUUUGGUUUUUUUUUUUUUUUUUUUUUUUUUUUUUUUUUUUUUAGUGAUGAAUCACUUUGAGACACUAAAAAUUUCAGAAGUACUUUUCUAAUAAGUACGUGGGCACGCCUUAUCAAAAAUUUUCUUCUGACCAAAAUAAGCAAACAAAUUAAAUUUCAGAAGUACUUUUCUAAUAAGUACGUGGGCACGCCUUAAAACUUUGUGACAUUAAAAAUCACAGAAGUACUUAUUAGUUAAGACGUGGGCACGCCUUAUCAAAAAUUUUCUUCUGACCAAAAUAAGCAAACACAUUAUUUAUUUUUUUUAAAAAAAAAAAAAAUCUGAAUCAAAAUUAAAAGAAGAUAUAACAAAAACCAAAAUAAAUAAAUCAUUUGGGUUGCCUCCCAAAAAGCGCCUUUGUUUUAUGUCUUUGGCUAGACACAUUUAUGCAUCAAUCUCCAUAAUUGGGACUCUCGAGAGCCACAUCCUCCAUAAUAUUCACCGAAAAACCUUCAUAAAAAGGUUUUAAGCGAUGACCAUUAACCUUAAAAACUUUGUCAGAGGUCGGACUCCGAAUUUCAACUGCACCAUGAGGAAAAACAUUAGUAACAAUAAAAGGUCCAACCCAGCAAGAACGUAAUUUACCCGGAAAAAGUUUAAGCUUAGAAUGAAAAAGAACUUUUUGACCAACAGAGAACUCCUUUAUCAAAAUCAUUCUAUCAUGAAAUGUCUUCGUCUUUUUCUUGUAAAAAACUUCCUGCACUAUAGGGUUAAUAACAUCCACAGAGAAUAUUGAAUGUUCCUCACUAGGAUAUUUCAUGGCAUCAUUCAUAUUGAAUUCUAUAACCUCUCCAUCAAACUCCAUAGUGAGAGUCCCUUUAUGUACAUCCAUUUUAGUCCUAGCAGUCUUAAGAAAAGGUCUUCCUAGCAAAAUUGGGACAGAAUUAGAGGAGUUAUCAUCUUCCAUAUCAAGUACAUAAAAAUCAGCAGGAAAAACCAACUCAUUAACUUGUACUAAGACAUCUUCUAAUACCCCAUCAGGAUAUGCAUUAGACCUAUCAGCUAGUUGAAUUAUCACGCCAGUUUCUUUUAAUGGACCAACAUUCAAAGAUGAAUAAAUGGAACGAGGCAUGACAUUAAUAGAAGCUCCUAGAUCUAACAUAGCCUUUUCAACUCUAACACUACCAAUUUUACAAGGGAUAGUAAACAUACCUGGAUCCUUGCACUUAGGAGGUAGUUUCUUUUGGAGAACUGCUGAAACAUUCUCCCCCAUGUGAACUUUUUCAUCUCCUCUUAAUUUUCUCUUGGAGGUGCACAGUUCCUUAAGGACUUUAGCAUAUCGAGGUAUUUGUUUUAUAGCAUCUAACAAAUGAAUAUUUACCUCAACCUUGCGAAAUGUCUCAAGGAUGUCUUUAUCUUGUUCCUUCUUCUUGGAUUUUGCAAACCGGCUUGGAAAAGGAGGAGGUAUCACAAUAGGUAGGGGUUUCGCUCUUGUGGGUUGUGCAUCUUGAGAUUGAGGCAUCAAUUCAUUCUUCUCAAGCUCAUCUUCUACAUGCUUUGUCACUUUCUUACUAGGCUCUUGCAACUCCGUCCCACUUCUAAGGAUGACAGCACUAACGUUUUCCUUUGGAUUCACCUCAGAUUGUGAAGGCAAUCUCCCUAAUACUUGAGACUCCAGACGGCUCACUGUAGUCGCCAAUUGACUCAUUUGGUUCUCCAAGUUCUGAAUGCUUGCUGUAGUUGCCUGCUGAAAUUGUUGAGUGUUAGUCGCAAGUGAUUUAACAAUUUCUUCAAGAGAUAUACCUGACUUGGAGUUUGACUGUGGAGGUGCUGGUUGUCUUGGUGGAUACUGUUGUGGGAAUCCUGAUUGCCUAACUCCAUAGCUGAAGUUGGGAUGAUCCUUCCAUCCCGGAUUGUAUGUUUGUGCAUAAGGAUCAUACCUCCUCUGAGGCAUGCCUGGAAAUCCUCCAACUGCAUUGGCUUGUUCAACGGGUUCUUCUUGAAGUGUAGGACACAUAUCAGUUGAAUGACCCAUAUUGUAACAAAUGCCACAAGUCUUCACCUGUUGCACAUUACCUACAACAAACUUUUCCACAAGAGAAGUAAGUUUAUCUAAACGUUGUUCAACAGAAGAAAUAUUUACCUCAUUCACCGUUCUUGAAGUGGCAUCUUGUCUGCUGCCAAAUUGUUGUGCAUUGGCAGCCAUAUUUGAGAUCAACUCCCUUGCUUGAGUAGGGGUCUUGUUCACCAACACACCUCCACUAGCAGCAUCUAUCAUACUCAUAUCCAUCAAUGACAGUCCUUCGUAAAAAUAUUGAAUAAGAAGUUGAUCAGAAAUCUGAUGCUGAGGACAGCUGGCACACAAUUGUUUGAAUCGCUCCCAAUACUCUUACAAAGUCUCCCCAGGAAGUUGUCUGAUCCCACAAAUAUCUUUUCUGAUGUUGGCAGCUCUUGAAGCAGGAAAGUACUUCUCAAGGAACUGCUUCUUCAAACCAUUCCACAUUGUAAUCGAUCCAGGAGGCAAGUAGUACAACCAAUCUUUAGCUAGCCCAUCUACAGAGAACGGAAAAGCACGCAGCUUAAUCUGCUCUUCAGUCACGCCUUGUGGCCUCAUACUUGAGCACACAACAUGAAACUCCUUAAGAUGUUUAUGAGGAUCUUCACCUGCAAAACCAUGAAACUUGGGUAAUAAAUGAAUAAGACCAGACUUUAAUUCAAAAUUUACCUCCAAAUCUACAUAUUGAAUGCAGAGUGGUUGCUGAUUCAAGUCUGGUUCAGCUAACUCUCUAAGAGUUCUUUCUACAGGUGCAGGUCUAUCCAUCACUUGUUCUUCUGAAUCACUAGAUGAUUCAACUAAAUCAGGCACCGUAUCUGUUUCAGAAAGCAAAGGCGACGAGGAUCGUUGCUUAGCUCGCUUUGUCUGCUGUCUCAGCUGGUGAGCUGUCUUCUCAAUUUCAGGAUCAAACGAAAGUGUACCUGUACGAGAAGAACGAACCAUACACCAAGUAAAACGUAAAAAGGAUUAAAUAAAUGACACCAAUCCCUGGCAACGGCGCCAAAAUUUGAUGGGUGUCGAAGCCAACAAAAAUAAAUUCCUACUCUAAAUAAAUUGUGUAUAGUGAUUGAGCAGGGUCGUGUCCACAGAGAUCGGUAAUUAUUUAAAUCCUUUUGAAACGUAAAACGUAAAAUGGGGGAAUUGUUGACAAUAAUAAAAAUCAAAUUGAAAUAAACAAGAAUGCAAAUUAAAGUUGUAAUUCAAAUUGGAGAAAGCUCUGGUUGAAGGAAUUAACUCAGCUUGAUUCGACUACUGAUCAUUGAUUCAAAUAUAGAUUAUUAUUAUUACUUAUGAAUAGAUCGGUUAUAGCUACUGAGACCCUCUAAUAGCCAAUCUCUCCUUAACUAGUCGAUAACCAAGGUACGACCGUUGGUUAUUUCCCUAAUCAAUAGACAACCCUAGAUACGAUCAUAGGAUUUAAUCAAUUGACAGCCUGAGAAACCAGAGAGACCCAAAUCCUAAUCAACACAUAUGAUGAUUCAUUUAAAUUAGAUUGUUUAUUCUCACAACACAACUCUCUGCUAUGUUAUUUGUCACAAACAUUAAAUUCUUCAUAUGAUGAAUCCUUUAAUUGACAAUAGAUUAAGUUGAUAAUUAAAUAGUGGCCAAUUACCUAAUUAACAAACAUAAUCAUGAAACUAAUUCAGAGAAUAAACAAAUACCCAAAAAGCAAUAAAACAAUUAAAGCACAAGAAAGAUCUCACAGUAGUGAUGAAUCAAAGCUUCAUUAUCCUUCAACCAGAAAAAUGGGUUUAGUUCCUCAUAGAGAGAAGAGAAAAAUUAGAUCUAGGGUUUCUUUUUCUCCAAUCCAAAAAUCCCCCCUUUUUCACAAUAGAUUCCUCCCUUCAAUACUCUCUCUCUCUUCUCUUUUAGAAUUCUAUUUAAAAUAAAAUACUAAUAUCUGAAAUAUUAAAUUCGUAAUUACAAAAAUAACCAAAAAUACAAAACACGUUAACCUAAAAACUGUAGGUCCGCAGUUGACAGCACGCGCCCACGCCUUAUCAACAAAGUUCUUCUGACGCUCAGAAAUUUCUCCAAGAGAACAAUCCUCCUUAAACAUCAUCUUUUAGCUCAAUUUUAUCAUCAAUCAAUAGAAUUGCACCUACAAAAGUAAAACACAAGUAAAACAUUAUUAUUAAAUGCAAAACAUCGAUAUUAAGGGAAGUAAAUAAUGCAAAACUAGUGCAUAAAUUGCACUCUAACAGUAUAUGGAUCAAUGAUUAGGAUAUCCACUUACAGAUUAAACAUUCUUCAUCACAGAAGCACAGUUUAUCAAUAAGGCAAGGCUGAACCCAGAUAACAUUGCUAUGUAAGUGUAACUUGUCAAAAGCGGUAUCGAUAAAACCUGUACAUACAUAGAAAAUUACGUCACCAAAUCCAUGAAGAAAAGUAUUUUAUAAACAAAUAUGUUUGAGACAAACUAUCAAAUGAUCUAAAUGCCACAUGGUGUGUUCAAAAUUUUACCCCUGCAAUGCGUGUUAUUAUUAUUGGCCCGAUCAUCCUCUCAACGUAAGGGUACAUAGUAAGUUGAAAAACAAGGAGAAUGAAAUCUAUAGUAACUUCAAAAUGAGGACAAUCGUCAAGCAGUUUUGGGGGGUUGAUGCAUGAGAAAAGAAGUUAAGAGGAACGAGUAACAUUUUCAGUUUCGUAAUAAGUAUAAAUGGGGAGCAAGAGUAUCAGUUUUGCACCUGAGAUGGCAAGAACUUGGCCAACAUUUUCGGUUGAGUAACUCAGACCCCCGUACUUCCACCGGCUGAUAGCCCACAGUGAAAAUAUCUAACAGAAUAGUUGCAAUAUUAUGAUUUAAAAAAAUUACACAGAUAAGAAAUUCUUAGGAUCAGUAAUAGCCAUAUGUCUUCUUUAUGUAUAAAACUCUCAACAAUCCCAUCAACAGCAAUAGCACCCUCUGUUUCAGGUAGAAGUUAAGAGAUAACUUUGCAAAUAUCUAACAGAAUGCGAUCUGAUCCAGGAUCCUGGACUUUAUUCAAGUUCGGGAAAGCCAUUGGUCAUUGGACUAUUAAACCAUAUGGCUUAAUAACUUUCCCGAACAUUAACAUAGUUUAGAUUUUGGAUUGGAACAUUUUUAUGUCAUAAUAAAGUAGAAUAUAUAUAUAUAAACAAUCAAGUAGAGAUAUUUAUACCUCGGUGUAAGCGAUAUCAUGAAGCGAGAAAACACAAUAAACAAUAAUAGAAGAAAUAAAGGGCCAAUUCUUCAUGAGGCUUUUCUUAGCAGUGGCCUCCUCACUUCCUUCAUCUUGUUUAAAUUCUGCAUUGGACCCACAGGAUGCGGAUUCCAAAGCAUCACAUGAUACAUCAAGUGAUACACCAUCUUCAUUGUGUUUGUGCAAUGUCUCACACUGAUCCAUAGUUGAGAGAGGCUGUGGGGAAGUUAAUGGAGUUGAAGGAGAGGGAUAAUGAUAAUGAAGAUUACUCUUCAUAUGCUAGUGAGGAUUAUGUCUACUCUUCUAGAGCAAUGACUGAUGAGGACUUCUCAUUCUCAGUAACUGGCUGAACUCAACUUAUUUUUUCUUUCUUUGGCUUUUGGCAGCUGAUGUUCUUUUUGGGGUUAGUAGAAGGAAGGAUAAAGCUGGCAAUUAAAGGAAGCCAUUUAUGUUAAUCUUAGUAAUUUCCCCAUAUAUAGAUAUAUCUUUGAAUGUUUUUAACUUUUGCAAGGUUCAUUAUGUAACGAGGCAGUGACACUGAUUAAACUUGUAUUAUUAUUAUUAUUAUUAUUAUUUUGAAUAGAAGCAAAUUGAUUGUGUUAUGGGUUUCUUUUGCUUCCCAUCGGAUUAGCAACUGGCACUGGCACCGGCAUGAUUGGCAAAGGCCAAGUUGAAGCUGCCUGCAGACUCUCAGUGGACUGAAUUACAUAUUACAUAAUACAAGUGAAAGGAAGGGACUCGUAAAGCUUUAUUGUCGUAGUUUGGAUAAGAUUAAGAAUUGCUGUCGCUUCUUGUCAGAUUGCAUUGAAACGCUAGUAGUCGCUGCUGCGAGCAUUGGUAUUAGAAGAUUAGCACAAGCAGCCCCUACCUAUCAUGGACUCUGAUGUUAUGGACCUUACGGAUAUCAAUUACCUAGUUAAAAGCUAGUUAAAAGCUACCUCCAUAUUUUUUAUUUUUACCCUAAUGCAUGUCUGAUUCUUUUAAAAUUUUACGUUAUAUAUAUUAAACAAAUAUUAUAAUUUUAAUCAUUGAAAAAUUAAUGACAGACAUCUUUUGAAUAAUUUUUUUUUUUAAAAAUACAGAGCUAGAGAAAAUGCUAUAAUUGAUUGAAUAAGAAGGCUACAACUUGAUGAUAACUUUAUUGCAAUGUUGCGUGAUCUCAAUAUAUUAUUGGCUUAUGUGUGAGUAAAAGUUGCUGGCUCCUGUUUUACUAAUUUGCCUUUGAAUUUGACUGGCUCGACAAAGAAUCGAUUUACCUCAUACUCAAAUUACAAACAUCGAAACCGGAUCUGUCAUUACGUUAAUUGGCCUCCUAAAAUAAUCAAUCACUUUCUCUUUAGUCUACCAUCCACGCUUUCCAGUCGCUUAGUUUCAUUCUAAUCAUCUAAACGGCUCUUUGCUACUGUUUCUUCUAUUUGUCAUUGUUCUUGUUCUGUUAUUAUUUAGCUUUGCUCACUCCUGAGUCUCAUUUCUUAUUCUGUACCCAUCAGCUCUUUUAGCUCUUUACGUCGUGAUAGAAACCCUUUUCUUGUUUCCUUCAUCUCAUCUGAAAAACACAAUUGCUUGUCCUAUCGCUGUCUCUUUGUUUUUACUUUCCUUUGGCCUUCUUCGCUUCUACGUUUUUGUCAGGAUUCGAGAUGCUGGAAAUCAUUGUGACUAUCGUCUUGGAACUUGUAAAAUGCUUGGCUCCUCCAACUGCACGCCAACUUGUUUAUUUGCGAUAGCGGAACUACAAUGCCAACUUUGAGAAUAUCAAGGCGGAAAUGGAGAAGUUGAAGGUUGAACGUACGAGCAUUCAGCGCAAAGUUUCAGAGGCGAAAGAAAAAGGGGAAGAGAUUGAAGAGAAGGUUGAAAAGUGGCUGGUUAGUGCGAAGUGCGAACGGCAUCAUUGACCGGGCAGCCAAAUUCAUUGAAGAUGAGGAGUCAACAAAUAAGCGCUGUCUCAAGGGCUUGAGUCCUAAUUGGAAGAGUCGCUAUCAGCUUAGCAAGAAAGCAGAGACGGAGGUGAAGGCCAUUAUUGAACUUGGAGAAGAAGUUAAGAAGUUUGAUACUGUUUCCGUAUCAUUCCGGAGGAGAUACGGCUCAAGUCUAGCAAUGGUUACGAGGCCUUCAAAUCAAGACUUUCUACUUUGCAGUCUAUAAAAAAUGCAUUGACUGAGGCGAAUGUCAGCAUUAUUGGGGUGUACGGCAUGGGCGGCAUUGGAAAUACGACAUUGGUGAAGGAGUGUGCUAGGCAAGCCAGGGAAAGGAAGCUGUUUGAUCGGGUGGGUUUUUCAGAGGUUUCACAAACUCCUAACAUAAAAAAGAUUUAAGGGGAAAUUGCAGAGAAGUUAGGUCCGGAGUUGUCCGACGAAGCUGAAUAUAGAAGAGCAAGCAGGCUGUAUGAACGAUUGAAGAGUGAGAAUAAGAUUCUUGUGAUUCUAGAUAACAUCUGGAAACAUCUUGAAUUGGAGACGGUUGGAAUUCCUUUUGGAAAUAAUCAUAAAGGAUGUAGACUGUUGCUGACAGCAAGAGAUAAUAAUGUGCUUUUAAGUAUGGGCUCCAAAGAUAACUUUUUGAUUGGCAAUCUAACUGAACAAGAAGCCUGGAGAUUGUUUAAGAUAAUGAAUGGUGAUGAUGUUGAAAAUUGUAAGUUCAAGUCUACAGCAAUUAAUGUAGCUAAGGCAUGUGGAGGUUUGCCAAUUGCGUUGAGGGCACUGAGAAACAAGAGUCUCCAUGAAUGGAAGAAUGCCUUGCGAGAGCUCCGAACGCCUUCAAUGGUAAACUUCGAAGGUGUGCCUGCAGAGACUUAUUCAAGUAUUGAGCUGAGUUUCAAUUAUUUAAAAGGUGAGCAAGUCAAGAAAAUUUUUCUGCUUUGUGGACUAGUAGGUAACAGUGUUUGGUUUUCAGACUUAUUUAGAUACUCCAUGGGUUUGGGCAUAUUUCAAGGAGUCAACAUUCCCUUCAUAUUUACCAAAGGUAAGUGAUAAAUCCUACAUAUCCCACUCAAGAAUGCAUAAGUUUCUUCAAUCUCAAGUACCUAAAGUUUUCUUCUACGUUUAUAAAAAUUUCAGCACCAUCUCCCUAUAAUUCUCCAAGCUCACGACAUAGCUAUAUAAGUGUUUAUGCGUUAUGCCAAAACAACACAUGACACCCGCUCACCUAGAACGUACCCAGAGAACACGAGGAGCAGCUACCGAAAAAGCCAUAUUUACGUGGGAAAAAAACUUCAGCUACUAGCUACCAGAGAGACCUAUGCAUUCCCAAACUGUCCAAGCCUGGACAAUUCAAGAAUUAUUAAUAGACAUAUGAUCCUCACUAUCAUCCAAAGAUGACACUAAUACAACAUGUGUCUAUUAAUAAUUUCUUAAACAAGUCUAAGCUUUCAAUGCACGUAUCAAAAGUUUAAAAUUGAAUCUGAAAUUUGAAUAACACAUAAAUAUCAUAAAUCUCUUCAAUUUAUUCCUGAUACAAUGUAGCAUUAUUUCAGAGAUCAUUUCUUAAGCAAAACCAUAAAAAAUACAAACGAUAAAUACAUUUUCCCACUGAUGCAGAUUAUGUUUACUGAGCAAUAAGUUUUAAGCCAUUCAUGUUGAAAUACUUCUGCCUGUUCUUUCAACAUAUAACUAGUACGUACACACAAUUAAUAAAUUAAAAAAAAAAAAACUGGUGGUGAAUCUGCAAAAUCUUCCUUUUUUUCUUUUUUUUUCUUUUUCUUCUUUUUUUGGGGGGGGGGGGUGUUGGGGGAACUAUGAAUCUUGCAAAUCCUCAAGAAGCUAUGUUAAGACAAGGCCAGCUUACUAUUAGGGUAUGAAAGAUAAAACCUUUUAUUUCCUUUUCAGAAUAAAAAGAACAUUGACAGUGUUAAAAAAAUCUAGAGGAUUUCAGGCCUCCAGAUCCUUACAAAUCAAGGAUAUUAAAAAAUUUACUUAGAGGAGAAUGGUUAUGCUCAUUUGUAUCUUGUUAGAAGAAAUUGAUCCAAAGCCUCAGUUUUAAUUAGCUUCAUAUAGCCAAUGAUUAGGUGUUUAAAAACCAAUGAAUAUUUUUAUAAGAAAUCGACAAUAUUGUUGAAAGAAAAACCAAAUAAAAAUAAUAAAGCCAAUGAAUAGAUCAAGGCUCUUUGUGGUCUAAAACUAAUCAAACUAAGUUGUGGGCAAAGGCGAAUAUGUUUGUUUGGUCAAUAAUAAGCUCAACAAAUCACUAAUAAUCACCUAAUCACUAUUCCUUACGCUAUGCAAUAUAAUGGCCUGGGUAAUGGCGCCAAGGCAGACAUUAACUAGCUAGCCAGUUAUGAUAGUUGAUUAACUUAACCUACUGGAAAUCUGAAGACCAAAACGAAGAAGCUUUGUCUAGAACUAGAAUAGGAACAUUCGUACCCAAAACUAAUAUACACAAUUAAGAAACUUGAUUAUAUGUAUAUUUCUGUUGGCCACACUUAAAGAGAAUUUUCAAAAGAUGCUAAGGUACACCAAAUCCCACUAUUUCAUACUCAUAAACACAAAAAACCAUGGCAAAAAUUAAUGACUAUAUCAAAUAAAAUCGGUGAUAGGACAUUGAGAUUAGGACAACUUGAUUUGUAUACCGUAAAAUAACUAUAUCUGCAUGGUGAACUAUAUUUCUGUUAGAACUCUGAAGUUUUCUAUUAAGUUUUUUUCUGUUAGGUAAACCACUUAACUGAAGUGCUUAAGCCAAUAUUGACAAUCAUAGACAUAAAAGUAUUAAUAGGCUCAUUCAAGUGAAAUGAGCAUUAUUUCACACAUCCUUUAGGUUUUUAAGUCAUUUAGAAGUCAUUCAUGUUAAAAAAAAAAAUUCAUAUACUUUCAAUAUAAUUAGAACAUACACAAUUAAUUAAUUAAAUAAAUCUUUUUCAGCUAGUAUAGGAACUUAAUUAAUCAAAGCUAGUAGUUAUAGCUAGGACUUGAACGAGGCACCUUUCAAAGUUCAAGAAGAGCAUCUGAACAGAAUGAAAGCACUUUGUAGAAAUGGUAAUGAUGCUUUACAUCUACAUGCUCUUACACAAUAUGAACUUUCAUUUAUUCAAGAACAUAACACUACUCCAAGCUCUUAUUCUACAAGUCAAUUCAGUUUGUAGAUGCACGCCAUUGUAAAAACUUUUGCAUUAUAAUUUCUGAAAAUAGAACGUAACAUUAUUAGUAUAGAAUCAGCAAUGUAAAUAACUUAUCAGACAAUAUAACAAGCACUUGGUGAGCAUACAAGAAAAACUAAAACAAGUUAUCUAGAUAAUGAAACUAAAACCCAAGCUCCGCUAUUCAUUGUAGAAGCUUUAAACAUAAAAUUAAAGUAAAUCUAAUAGCAAAACAUUAGAAUGGAUAUUGAAAUUAAAGCUAAAUUCAAUAGUAAUUCAAAUGAAUCCAUUUGAACUUUGUAAAUUCCGCAGAACAAAAUUAAUUUGAGUGAGCAAACUCACCAAAAUUAAAAAGAUAUUGCUGGCGGGAAAAAAAUUGACAAUAACAGCUACAAUACGAAUUUAAAAAAAAAAUCAAAAUCUAUAAUUACAAGCUUAACUCAAAAGAUGAAGGGAGAAUACGAUGAAGAAGAAGAUGGCUGGUGUUUUACGCCGUUCGCCGGCAACCAGUUAGGUUUACGAUGGUGGCUAGUAACACGGAGUCCAGCGAAUAGUUUUCUAACUGGAAAUAAAUUUAAAAUUCUAAAAUAGUACCGAAUGGCUCGUUGCCGUCACGUGGUUAGUAACAUAUGUGACCGCAGUGUGGCCGUCACAUAAAAGGUAUUGGGGUUACAAAGUUAGUGAUAUACGUGAUGGCUGCUCUUGCAUUCACAUUAGGGAUCACAUAUACCCUAUUUUCUUGUAGUGCAUGGUAAAUUCUAUUUGAAAAUUGCUAAGUAUUUUAGAUUUGUACGAAUUCAUUUUUGUGUGCUCAUUGGAUAAUAAUAUAUAAUAAAUUAAAUUUUUGGUGUCAACCAUACCAUACCAUACCAUAAAAUCAAAUUUUAUCGUGUCAUUCUUCUUGGUUCAAAUUUUUGGAAACAAUAAUCAAAUGCAUCCAUGAACUAGUAUAUUCCGACAUAUAUAUAUAUAUUGAAAUUUUAAUAACAACAAUUGGGCCAAGCAUAUGUUGGUACUUGAAGAUUUAUAAGCUCCAUCCUUGAAAAAAAUAAGGCUUGACUGUUCUCAAUCUAAAAUUCUUUUUGUUUUAAGUUCUUAAUUAAGCUUUCUUGCUUGUUUUCAAGAGCCAGUUUUGUAAUGAUCGACAAACAUGACUUGCAUAUACUGCACUUGGCUUUUAUGUGUCACUUAUUAAUUAGAUUUAGAUUUUAUGUCUCAUGCACUCGCUAAUUAAGCUCUUAAUUAAGUGCUCCUUAUAUGGAUAUUGUGUCAAAACAAGUGCUUUCCAUACGGAUAUUGGAUCUAAAGAGAAAAUUAUCUUUAGGUAGUGUUGCCAAAUUUGGAGGCUUUGGAGCUGAAUGCUAUUAAUGUCGACGAGAUUUGGCAUGACAAUCAACUUACGGCCAUGAUUACUUGCUUUCAAAGUUUGAUACGAUGGAUAGUGUGGGGCUGUGACAAAUUAAAAUACAUAUUUUCAGCUUCUAUGAUCUUAAGCCUUAAGCACCUCCAACACCUGGAGAUACGGAUAUGUAUGGGUUUACAAGAGAUCAUCUUCAAAGACAGCAGAUCAAGUGACCCCAUAUUUUGUCUUUCCACAAGUGACCACUGUGAAUCUCGAAGGUCUACCAGAACUCAGAUGUUUAUACCCUGGAAUGCAUACUUCAGAAUGGCCAGCACUAAAAAAAUUGGAGGCCUGUAAUUGUGAUAAAAUAACGUUGUCCCAGAAUAACGAGAAUGAUCAAUUUGGUAUUCCGCCACUACAACCCCUGCUCUCGUUCAAGAAGGUAUGAAACCAAAAUUUAGAUUUUUUUUAUCAAUUAUCUUUGUUGUUCCUCACUCACAGAUCAGGAGGUUUAAUAACUACCUAUAUGGAGUUUUUUUCUAGUGGGAAUGCCCUUAUUUUUUACUUUUUUCAUGCGGAGAAGCUUUCAAAUCCCUCGGUUUAAGAGCGUGUUUGUAAUGAUCCACAAACAUGAUUUGCAUAUACAGUAUUGCACUUGGCAUUUAUGUAUCACUUACUAAUUAGAUUUAAAUUUUAUAAAUUAAUUAAACUGAUUAAUAUUUUAUAUGUGCACUGAAUGAUAGAUACUACAUAAAUUGGGACACUAUAACUACGUAUCCCAACUAUGUAAUAUUUGUUUGUCACAAACCCAAUCAUGACCUGAUAUUCUGAAUAUUAUUUAGGAUACCAUUUCAAGCCCCAUGAGGGCUCUUUCCAUUUUAAAAAGUAUGAAAUAGAUGUAGAUUUUUCUUUAGAUAUUAUCAGUGAGAGUACCUUUGGUGGCAGUGGUCCGGGAUGAUUUGUGUUAAGGAAGCUCAUUGAGCACGUGUGUCAAUGAUGAGUCAGCAGUUAGUUGGGUAAAGAAGCCAGCUCAGCAAAUCUGUUAAUCAUGUUUUACGUUCUGUUCUUCAGUUGUUAGUAAUGCUUUUAAUUCUGUUGAGAUAUGAGUUAGUAUAAAUAUGUUGUUAUUGUAUUUGUAAUUGUGAACGUGAGAUUCAAUAAAAAAUAAGUAGUUUCUAAGGAAAAAUCUUAUCAUUAUUUUCUUAGCUUCCAAACAACUUUUACAGUCACAAUUCAACUUUCAAACAUGGUAUCAGAGCCAGUAAGAGCAAGCUCUAGUGCUCAGCAAACAAAUCAACAAAGUCAAAUAAAUUUUUCUUUCAACACUCCAAUUAAACUAGAUCGAUCGAACUAUCUACUUUGGCGUUUUCAAGUUUUUGCUUCCAUAAGAGGCAAUCGAUUGGAAGGCUUCAUCAAUGGAACAAAACCAGCUCCUGAAGAAUAGUUCACUCAAGUUGUAGCUGAUGGAUCUAUUCAGAAAAUUGAUAAUCCAGAAUAUCAGAAUUGGAGAUCACAGGAUCAAACAUUGCUUGGAUGGAUGCUAUCAUCAAUAAGUGAAGGUACUCUAAAUCUUGUCAUAAAUUGUGGUAGCUCGUUUGAUGUUUGGAGAACUUUAGAAAAGAAAUUUGGUGUGCAAUCUGAAGCUAGGGUUCUUCAACUUAGAUAUGAGUUGAAUACUCUUAGGAAGGAAUCAAUGAGUAUUGAAGAUUACUGCAUCAAAAUGAAAAUUGUAGCAGAUAAGCUUGCUAGUGCUGGAAGUCCUAUAACAGAGAAAGAUCUCAUGCUGACAAUUCUUAAUAGCUUAGGAGCAGGUUAUCGUGAUAUUGCUACCUUUAUAACUGGCUCAAAAAUGGACUAUGAUGAUGCUUAUGCAUUAUUAUUGACUCAUGAAACCAGACUUGAACAAGAGCAGAAUGAUAAAAGCAUGUUUAAUGCAAAUUAUGCUUACACAAAUGCCUAUUAUCCAAGGGCAUUCUAUGCCCAAUCUAGAAAUAAUUUUAGAAGAGGAGGAUAUGCUGGUGCUCAGUUUGGUAAUACUGGUAGAAAUCAUACUGCUGGAAGAGGAAAUAUUUUUCAGUCUCCAAGGAUGUUUACUGGCAAUCACAGAGGUGGAUAUGGAAGAGGACACUCAUUUGGCCCAAAUAAUGUUAACUCUUUUCAUGCACCUAGGAAUCCAAUACAAUUUACUAGGACUGGAGUCACUAAUAUGAAUGGACCUCAAGGAAUUCCAAGUAAUGCAGAAGAAUUGGUUUGCCAGAUUUGCUUUAAGCUGGUCACACUGCUGAUAUUUGCUGGCAUCGAUUUGUGGAGGAUUAUGUCCCUUCUUCAAGAAGUCUAGGCAGAGGAAAAGGACCAAGAUCAGCAUAUAUUGCUAAUUUUGAUGGCUUUACAUAUCCAUAUCAAGGUUAUGAUAACUAUGAUAAUCAUCCUGCAUCUGAGACAAGCUGCUAUUCUGGAAUUGAUAACUAUGCACCUACAGAAGCUUAUGUGGCUAAUUUUGAAAGCUUUGCUGAUGAUGGCUGGUAUUUGGAUAGUGGGGCAACUCAUCACUUGACCAACAACAUGGAGAACUUGCAUUUUAAGGAAGACUACAAAGGUACUGAUCAACUCAUUAUUGGAAAUGGUCAAGGUCUGUCAAUUUCUCAUAUUGGUCAUGCAUUUUUAUCAUUUAGAGCUUCAAAACAUCCUUACACACAUGCCUCCACUAUAGCACUUAAAGAUAUGUUACUUAUUCCUACAAUCACUAAGAAUUUACUAAGCAUCUCCAAACUUACAUCUGAUAAUUCACUCUCUGUUGAAUUUUGUGGAAAUGUUUGUUAUGUUAAGGACAUGAAAGGGCAAGUUCUUCUGCAGGGCCUUGCUGAGAAAGGUCUUUACAAGCUGUUGAUGAAAUCUUCUUCCAUGUCAUCUUCUGCUUAUCAUACAUCACCUGCCUUUCAUCUUUCUCAACUUCAGUCACAUAAACCAAUAUCCAUGCUGUCAUGCUCAAAUGUGUCUUCUAUUUCUCAUCAUUGUAAUGUCUCAACUUCAGUCACAUAAACCAAUAUCCAUGCUGUCAUGCUCAAAUGUGUCUUCUAUUUCUCAUCAUUGUAAUGUCUUUGAUAAGACUUGUUUCAGCUCAAUUUCAAAUAAGUGUAACCAGAAACAUGAUGAACUUAUCUUGUUACACAGAAAGUUUGGUCAUCCAAGCUCAACAGUAUUGAUGCAUUUGCUUAAGACUUGUAAACAAGUUAAAGUCUCUCAAAAAUCAAUUUUAUCUCCUGAGCAUUCUAUGUGUGAAGCAUGUCAAUUAGGAAAAGCUCACAAGCAACAUUUUUCUACAACCGAAACCAAAACAACUCAAGUAUUAGAACUGAUACAUACUGAUCUGUGGGGGCCUUCACCUACUACAUCUAGAAAUGGUUUCAAAUACUACAUUAGCUUUGUAGAUGAUUACAGUAGGUAUACCUGGAUUUACCCACUCAAACUCAAAUCAGAAGCUUUUGAAGUUUUCAAAUUAUUCAAAAUCCAAGUAGAGAAUCAGUUCAAUACCAAAGUCAAGAUGCUGCAAUCUGACUGGGGGGGAGAAUAUAGAGUUUUUACUAACUUCUUAAACCAGAAUGGGAUCAUUUUCAGACAUUCAUGCCCUUACACACAUCAUCAAAAUGGUCUAGUAGAAAGAAAACAUAGACAUAUAAUUGAGUUAGCUUUGACUCUCUUAGCUCAAGCCAAUCUUCCUUUUAAAUUCUGGUGGGAAGCUGUUCAUACAGCAGUGUAUCACAUAAACAGAUUACCAACACCUGUAUUGAAACUCUUAUCUCCAUAUGAGAAGCUCUUUAAACAUAAACCAGAUUACAGCCUCCUUAAAUGCUUUGGUUGUCUUUGUUAUCCAAACUUGAGAGAUUUUAACAAACAUAAAUUUGACUUUCAUACCAGCAAGUGCAUCUUUAUUGGUUAUAGCUCAUCUCAUAAGGGAUAUAAAUGUCUUACAAGCUCAGGUCGAGUUCAUAUCCUUAGACAUGUUGUUUUUUAUGAAAGUGUAUUUCCAUAUACAACAUUCUCUGUUCCUUCUUCAUCUGAAAAUGUUGCCAACUCAGAAACACCAGUGUCAAAUUUCUCUAAACAGCAAGUCUAUCAUCUUUUAACUCUACCCUUAUUCAACAGCAGUUUUGAAGAUACUUUCUCAGCAGGUGUACCAAGUGAUGAACAAACUCCUGUUUUGCCUGAGCAUACAGAUAAUUUGAAUCAACAAGAAUCAUCUAGUUAUUCUUUAUCAGAACCAUCAAUAUCACAAGUUAUCCCUCAAAUCCCUGAAUCUACUCAAACACAACCUGAACCACAAACAAGCAAUCAACAACACUCAGAAUAUAAUCCAAACAGAAUUCAGAUCUCACAACCUACACACAAAAUGAUUACCAGAUCAAAGUCUGGAAUAUUCAAGCCUAAGUUAUAUACAGCCACCUUGACCAACAAAGAACCUGACACAAUUCAAAAAGCUCUGAAUGAUAAAAAUUGGUAUAAGGCCAUGAAAGAGGAAUAUGAAGCUUUGAUCAGGAAUGAGACUUGGUCUCUUGUACCACCUCCAGCUGAAUACAAAAUAGUUGGAAACAAAUGGGUGUUCAGGGUUAAACAAAAUAGUGAUGGCAGUAUAGCAAAGUACAAAGCUAGAUUGGUUGCUAAAGGUUUCCAACAAACUGAAGGGAUUGAUUAUUUCGAAACUUUUAGCCCUGUUAUAAAGGCUUCCACAGUGAGGGUUAUAUUAAGCCUGGCUGCAAUGCAGAGUUGGAUGAUCAGACAGGUAGAUGUUAAUAAUGCUUUUCUGAAUGGUGACUUAACAGAAGAUGUCUACAUGUGUCAGCCUGAGGAUUUUGUUGAUGAGAAGAGAUCAGGCUAUGUAUGUAAGUUGAAGAAGGCUUUAUAUGGUUUGAAACAAGCUCCCAGAGCUUGGUUUGAUAAACUAAAAGGCUGUUUGGUUGCAAACUGGGGAUUUCAAAAUUCCAGAGCUGAUACCUCACUAUUCUUUAAAGGAAAACAAGAUUCAAUGAUAUUAGUUUUGAUCUAUGUUGAUGACAUACUGAUAACAGGGCCUAACAGUGAUGAACUUGAAAAGUUUAUUUCAGACUUCAGCAAAGUGUUUGCAUUGAAAGAUUUGGGAAGACUCUCAUAUUUUCUGGGUAUAGAAGUAUCUUAUGCUGAGAAUAACAUUUACUUAUCUCAAAGAAAAUAUGUUAGAGACCUGCUAAGUAAAGCUGAUAUGCUUCACUGCAAAGGGUGUGAUACACCAAUGGUUACAGGGACAAAACUUCAAAAGGAAGCUAAGGGAUCUUUGGGUCAGCAUGUUGAAGAUGCAACAAGUUAUAGAAGUUUAAUUGGAGGGCUGCAGUAUUUGGUUCUGACCAGGCCAGAGAUAGCUUUUGCAGUGAACAAGCUAAGCCAAUAUGUUUAUACACCUACACUACAACAUAUCCUAGCCUGUAAGAGAAUGCUUAGAUAUUUGAAAGAGACAGAAGACUAUGGAUUAAAGUUUUCAGCUGAUGGAGAAAUAAAGUUAACAGGUUUCACAGAUGCAGAUUGGGCAUGUGAUAUUGAUGAUAGGAAAUCAACAGGUGCAUACUGUAUUUACUUGGGAAAUAACUUGAUCUCUUGGUCAUCCAAGAAGCAAUCCAUAGUUACAAAGUCAAGUGCAGAGAGUGAGUACAGAGCUCUUGCUUCUGCAAGUGCAGAAAUUACAUGGUUACAGUCAUUGUUCAAGGAACUCAAGAUUGAAUGUAUUUCAGUGCCCACAAUCUGGUGUGACAAUAUAAGUGCAACUGAGCUGGCCAAAAAUCCUGUCUACCACUCGAGAACCAAACACAUUGAAUUGGACAUGCACUUUAUAAGAGACAAAGUGUUAGCAAGAGAGCUGGAAAUCAAUUACAUUCCCAGUGAAGAACAGAUUGCAGACAUCUUGACCAAGCCUCUCACAUUCACUCAAUUCAAUUAUCUCAGGAGCAAACUUAAUGUGCAGCCAUGCCCCUUAAGUUUGAGGGGGGCUGUUAAGGAAGCUCAUUGAGCACGUGUGUCAAUGAUGAGUCAGCAGUUAGUUGGGUAAAGAAGCCAGCUCAGCAAAUCUGUUAAUCAUGUUUUACGUUCUGUUCUUCAGUUGUUAGUAAUGCUUUUAAUUCUGUUGAGAUAUGAGUUAGUAUAAAUAUGUUGUUAUUGUAUUUGUAAUUGUGAACGUGAGAUUCAAUAAAAAAUAAGUAGUUUCUAAGGAAAAAUCUUAUCAUUAUUUUCUUAGCUUCCAAACAACUUUUACAGUCACAAUUCAACUUUCAAACAAUUUGGGAUUUGACAAUUCCACUCUCAUCUUAAUUAUCAAAUGGAAUGUAAGUAGAGAUAAACUUGUCCUGUUUAUAUAUUUGUGAUCAAAAUUAGGACCAAUAUAAAAAAUAUUAGGGUCCGACUAUCUAUACUUUAAAAAUCAUUAUGAACACUUAAUUAUUUAUGUACUCAGCUAAUAAAUUUAAAAAAUUAAGUUUUACUUUCCACACUUUUUUUAGGAGUACUUUCUACACUUUUUAAAAUAACAAAAACAUCUUUACAUGAACUUAAUAAGUUUCUUUAAAAAAAUUAAAUCAACUAUUUUUAUUUAUUCAAAAUACUAAUAAAAAUAUUUAGCAGACCGUGAAAGAAAAUUUUUAAGAAAUUUAACACGAUUUUAGUUAUUACUUAUUGUUUAUUAAAGAAUGUGUUCACUAUUGUAUUUAAUUUUGUUAGUAAAAAAAAAAAGAAGAAGUUUGGGUUUAAGAUACAUUUAAUUUUUAGUGUAACAGUUGUAUCAAAACAAUAAAAACUAAAAGAUCCAAAAGUCACAAGUUCCAACACCACCCAAAUAAAAAGGUCUGUUAAGAUUAUUUUUGGGAAGCUCAAAAGUGAUUUUAAAAAUUUAAAACUAAUUUUUAGUGUUUUAUAAAUUUUUUAGUAAUUACUUUUGGCAAAAUCAUCUCAUUGUACAGUAGAUUUUGAAAAAGUAGGGAAUGAAUAAUUUUUCAAAAUAUGAUUUUGAGAAUCACUUUUAUAUUUAAUCAAAUUCUAUAUAUAUAUACUCAUUAUAUAAUAAAAAUUCAAAAUUAUCUUUAUUAAUUAAGAAAUAAAAUGAUUAACUUUAAAGAGAUUAUUAUUAUUACCAAUUAUAUUGAGAUAAAAAAAUAGAGAAUAAAAUUUAAUAAUAUAAAAUAUUUAUUUUAGUUAUCAAUAAUUAUAUGUACAAUAAAAAUAUUUUAUAUACAUGUUUAUAAAUGUGUAAAUAAAUUUUAUUUAACAUUAUGUCCAAUUCAGUCAUUUACAUUUUUGGUCCAAUUUAACAAUAAGAUUUACGAAAUAUAUACGACGCUUUUAAAACUAAAAGUAUUUUUAAAAAUAAAUUUUACUAAAUGUUCAGCUGAUUCUCUUGACGAUUGAUCAAUUUCUACAGCAUAGCUAACUGUAAUUAUUUUAAAGGCUACAGGAUUACCAAACUGACCCUAAAUCAAACCAAUAAAAAUGUUUAAAAAUAAUAAUAAUAAACCAAAGUAAACGUACAAAAAUUCAUGCAUAAAUUGAUAAUCAACAAAAACAUCCACAAGUUUACCUCCAAGUUUUCUAUUCAAUUGACAUAACCCUUAAAUUUCAAAAGGCAUAAUCAAUUUUUGUCUAAUCCUAUAAAAUUAGAAAAUUAAAGAAUAUUAUGUACUGAUAAUUAAAUAAUAUGCAAUUAACAAUGUUAAAAAAAAUAAUGUUAAACAUAUUGUCAACUAAAACAAUUGGGAUUAACGAGCUGCUAUUGAAAUUAAUGUUAAAAAAAAUAAUGUUAAACAUAUUGUCAACUAAAACAAGCAUCAUGUGCAGUACCCACCGUGAUCUACUCACAUUGGAAUAAGUUGUUGGCAGCUGGUAAAAAAUUCAAUGUUGAUUUUGAUCCCACUAAAUUAAGUCAUCAAAAAUUGCUGGGAAGGGAGUAAUAUCUAUUUAUAACUGGAAAUUAGUCACCGUACAAAGAUGAUUGGAGCUGCAUAUAUCGUUUAUUAUUAACAACUAACUUAUGAAAUGCUUUGAAUGUACCUCCUAGGUCGUAUUAUUUACUAUACUAGUUAGGAGAAAUUGCAAUGUUAAAUUAUUUGAUAAAUACUUAUUAUAAUUUGAAAAUAUGUUAAUUUUGUCCUCCAUUUAUGAUAAAAAAUUUUGUAAUAUAUAUAAAUCAUUCAUUCUAUAAUCUUGAACUUUAUUAAAGUUCGAAAAACUAUUACUCUAUAUGAUAUAAUAGUGUGAUGUUAUUACACUAUUAUACCAUAUAAAAUAUAUUUGCUUUCUCAAAUUUUAAUAAAGUCUAGGUCUUGGACAGAAGCACUUUAUAUAUGUAUAUAUAAUGAUUCUCUAGUAACGACAUUCUCAUUUUAACAAAGUAAUGAUAUCACUAACAAACUAAAUAACACAUAUUUCAAUACACCAAUAGAUUAAAAAAAAUACAAUUUUUAAUGUGUUAAAAUAUAGGUCUUUUGUAUGUUAUUGAUAUUUUCACUUUAACAAAGUGAGGGUCUCCUCACUAUAAAAGUAAUUUAUAAAUAUUCCUUGUAUUUUUGUGAAAAUUAUUAUUUAAAUGUCAUAUCUUACCAAAAACUAUUAGUUUUUAUUUUAUUACUACGCUAUACUUUUCAAGAUAGAACACCUUAAUACCAUGACCUUAAUUUUUGAACCCUCUUGUACAAAGUUGUUGGCUGGUCUAUUUAGCUUAAUCUUUCAAUUAUUUGUCGUUUGAACUGAGAUGAUCCGAAUAAGGCUAUGUAUCAAUAAUUUCUUAGUGAAACUUCGGGAAAAAAUAAAAAUCAUCUCAUACAGUAGCAUUAUUUUAAUUCUCAGCUUGAUUAUGUUUUGAGUUAACUUAUAGAUUAUUUGAAAUGAAAAUAAUAUAAUUUAUUUUUUCCAACUGAAAUUUUUAAAUAAUUUUAUUAGUUUGAUGAGUAAGUAUACACUUACAAAGUUAUGAUAUAAAAUUAUAUCCCAGAAUCCCAAUAAUAUGACACCAAUUAACUAUUGCUAUGUGUUUCUUAGUAAUUAACUUUUUAUACUAUUAUUAAUGAGAUAAUUAACUUCAACACCAAUAAACAAUUAAUACAUCCUCUAACUUUAUUAUCAAAUAAUCAUACGUCAUAAUCAAACCAAGUUACCAGAGCCUACCACUAAAAGAUUGAUUGAAGGGUUUUCCAAGUUUGAAAAUGUUAGUAGCAUUGGCAAAUGGCAACUUCCAGGAAUCUUCCUGCUACAAUCAAUCAUUUAGUGAAAUGCCCAAAUGACACAAAGGACCCCGCCAACCGUGAAGUCACAUCAUUUAUUUAUUUGUAAAUGAAAAAUAAGGUUCCGAUCGGAAGAAAUCAGCACCUUAUAAUGCAUGAUUACCCGUAUGUCAAGUUUGGCGAUUAUAAGUCAUCAUCACAAUAACUUUGGAUUUUGAUAUUUAAGUCUCCGUUUGGGACCAAUGUAUGCCAAUUGGACAACACAUCACUCAAUUAUAGAGAGCGAAAUAUUGAUAUUGUCAUUAUUUUACGUAAUGUAUAAACUUUUCCUUUUAUUUUUGUUUGUUUAUUUAUUUUUAAUACCUAAUAAAUAUAAAUUUAUUUUUUAAUAUUUAAUAAAUUUUGUCAGAAAAUAACAAACAAUGACCCAAAUCCUUUUAUUUUACAGAAAUAAUUUCAAUUCACAACUAUGACAUUACAUUACCAAACAAACACUAAAUAUUUUGAUGAUUGGAGUUUAUCUUUCAUUCAUAGCAUGAAAAGUUUGAAAUAGAAUCUCAAAACAAAAGAGUACGACAUGUCUUGUUGGGUUUACAGAAGAAGUGUACGCCAUGUCAUCCGAAAACUAAAAGGCAUGUAUGACAACCAAACGGUAUCAUCCCUGAUUUGCCUACACUUUAAGGAUGAAUUCUGGGUUUUGAGUGACAAUUAAAAGCCAGAGUGAGAAUUAGAGAGAGAGUUAUAUAUUCUUAUUUAUUCCUAGUCACUUGCUAUAUUGUGUGGGUCUUUUGUGAUUCCAAUAAUAAAAAUGUUCAAUAUUUUUUUUGAUAGAGCAAUAUUUUUUAAAGCAUAAAGAAAGGCAGAAAUAUUGUAAAUCCAUCUCAAAUUUUCUGUUUAUUGUGGUUGCUGCUAGCGCUAGCUGUUUUCUUAUUUAACUUUGUUCCCUUUUGCCAUCAGCUCUUUGCAUUUUCAUUGGAUCAAGCGGCCCUUUUCUUGUUUCAAUUUUUUAUCUCAAAAGCACUUUGAUUCUCUUCUGUUACACUGAUUUUCUCCUUAUUUUGCACAAAUAUCGUUUCUCUUUCCCAUUUAGCCUUGAUUUGCUUCUACUUGACUACCAAUUGCCCAGUCGUUGACCCUGUUGUAUUUUUAUUUCAUUCACUUCCAAUAGACCAAAAAAAAAAAAGAGAUGUUGAAUAAAAGCUUAAAAACUAAUUUGAUUUUUAAUAUGAUUUAGCUAAGAUGUCCAAUUUAAUACUAAGAGUAAUGUUAAGGAUCCUAAUAAUUGAGUCCCAACUGAUAUGGUAGUCAUUUAUUAGAUGAUGGAAAUAUAAAUUUUAUUAGUUGUGAAAUUCAUUAUUCAAUAAAAAAAUAACACAUAACAAUUAGGUCUCAAGUUAGUAUUUUACUAUUGGAAUUCCUAACAUUAUUCUAAUAUUAAAAAAUUCAUCAAAAUAAUAUCCGUUGAUGCUGAAAUCUAGUCGCCUUUGGACCGACCAGAUUGGUUCACCAACGCUUGUAUUGACAAAGGAAUAGAGGCUGCGAUCCAUUAGCUUCAACAAUUUCCCGAGCUUCUGGGACCCAAAUCACCCGUCUUCUUCCUUCCAGGCCUAUGUUCACAUAAACAAAUCAGAGAAGCCGGUGGUUUUUUGGGCAUAAACCCUUCGAUACUUAAGUUAGUACAAGGUGUUUACGAGAAAAGUUAAUGAUUUGUGUUGUACAUAUUAGUUGCAAUAUUCUCAAUACCAAAUGUAUCAAGGAUUUGGAUAUUUGAAUUUCUGAUUAUAAUUUGACAGAGUUUCCCCUUUACUCUCAAUUUGUGUCUCCCCCUUUUCAUUGAUUUCUUGGCCUUUUAUAGGCAAUCAUCCCAUGUUUUCUGAGUAUUAUUCAUGCCCCUCAUUUUCGGGUGAUGACGGACCUUCAUGGGUCUCCAACCACCGAAUCGUGGGUAAACGUGGGGCGUCAUGUUCUCCCCAACGGUUUGGGGCAUGACAAAACUGUCGUGAGUUUGUGAGAUCGUGUCCUCUUUCUUUGAAUAAUGAGUACUUGGUCGAUAUGUACAUCUGGUCGGUACUCGUUUCUAGUCGGCAUAUGCCCCGUACAGGAUGUAUUACCAGGAAUCUGCUCGUGCCAUUCAUCUGGGGAGAUUCGCCCCAGGGUGAGGGAAGAGGGGAUAGCUGAGCUGGUACUUUUCAUUACUCAACAAUAUCUAUUAUCUAAAAAAAUAAAAUAAAAAUCUAAAACCAUAGAUUUACUUUUCAAUCUUCGUGAUUUGACUGAUUUCUUUUAAAGCUUUGGUUUCUUUAGAAGUGCAAGGAGAAAUAGUAAUAAGAUUAAAAAAGCAAUGAAGUAAAACUUUAAAAUUUUUGUUUCUUUAUAUUUUUAUCGGUCAUUUUACCGGUACUGGCGUUUGAUUUUCUGACUAAGCUACUGUUUAGUUCUAAGUUUUGGCAAUUACCCGGACUGCUCUCUUUCGUGUAACAUCGACACAAUGAGGCUUUGCAUCUAAAAGUCGGCAGCCACGCAACUUCUUGGAAUCUUCGUGCAAGUGUUGGAUAUCGACCGUUCGAUAAUGACGGCAGCAUUGUUCUGGAGUGUAAUUGACGCAGUGGAAUAAGGAUCACAUGUCUCAAACUUUCGGUGAAGAUAUUGUUAGAUAUUUUAUUGAUUAAGGAUCAUUCUUUGCACUCAUUCUCAAUCAAGAAACGCAUAUGCUUUUGUUCAUUGUAGUCACUGCUGUUUUGUUAUUAAUCUUUGCUCCCUUUUGCUGUCAACUCUCUUGAAUUUCACUGGAUCAACUUUUCUCUUGGCAUCUGCUUUGUUGUAAUCUCCAGUCUUUGUUAAUUAGUCUCUCCGCUCGCAAUCCAGUUGUUGAACUAGAAACCUUUUCCUUGUUUCCAUCUUCUCAGCAGAUCCAUAACAGCUAUUACGAUUUCUUUCAUUUCUCCUCGUCCACAACCAGAUAAACUGUCCAUCUUUGCGUUUCUUUUUCUUUUUCUCCUCACUCUCUCUGUGUUUCGCUCAUUGUUUAUUUUCUUGUCAGAAACUUCGAAAAAAAGAAAAGGGAUUCAGGAUGGUGGAAAGCAUUGUUACUAUUGUUUUAGAAUUUGUGAAAUGCUUGGCUCCUCCAACAGAACGCCGACUUGGUUAUUUGCGUACUAUAAAGCCAACGUUGAGAAACUCGAGGCAGAAAUAGACAAGCUCAAGGAUGAAAGGAGAAGCAUUCAGCACAGGGUUUCUGAGGCUGAAAGAAAAGGGGAAAAUAUUGAAGAGAAGGUUGAGAAGUGGCUGGUUAGUGCGAACAUCAUCAUUGAGCAGGCAGCCAAAUUCAUUGAUGAUGAGAAGACAACAAAUAAACGAUGUCUCAUGGGCUUGUGUCCUAAUUUGAAGACCCGCUAUCAGCUUAGCAAGAAAGCAGAAACAAAGGUGAAGGCCAUUGUUAAACUCCGAGAAGAAGCUGGGAGAUUUGUUGAUGGAAUUUCCUACCGUACCAUUCCGGAGGAUAUAUGGCUCAAGUCUCACAAAGGCUACGAAGCCUUCGAAUCAAGACUUUCUACUUUAAAGGCCAUACAAAAUGCAUUGAUCGAUGUUGAUGUCAGCAUCAUUGGGGUGUACGGCAUGGGCGGCAUUGGAAAGACGACACUGGUGAAGGAGUUUGCAAGGCGAGCCAUUGAAGACAAGCUUUACGAUAUGGUGGUUUUUUCGGAGGUUACCCAAUGUCCAGACAUAAGAAAGAUCCAAGAGGAAAUUGCGGAAACGUUAGGCCUAGAGUUGUCCGAGGAAGCUGAGUCUAGAAGAGCUAGUAGACUAUAUGAAAGAUUGAAGAAUGAGAAGAAGAUCCUUGUGAUUCUCUAUAACAUGUGGAAACCUCUUGAUUUGGGGACUAUUGGCAUUCCUUUUGGAGUUGAGCACAGAGGAUGUAAAUUAUUAUUCACAACAAGAGAUCUUGAUGUGCUGUUAAGGAUGGGAUCUGAAAAAAACUUCUCGAUUGGCAUUUUAAAUGAACAAGAAGCCUGGAGAUUGUUCAAGAUAAUGGCUGGUGAUUAUGUUGAAAAUCGUGAGUUAAAAUCUGCAGCAACAAGUGUAGCCAAGGCAUGCGGAGGUUUGCCUAUUGCCCUAACCACAGUAGCAAAGGCACUGAGAAAAAAAGAGCUGCCUGUGUGGAAGAAUGCCUUGCAAGAACUCCAAACGCCUUCAGAGGCAAGCUUCGACGAAGGAGUACCAGCAGAGGCAUACUCAACAAUUGAGCUGAGUUACAAGUACUUAAGAGGUGAGCAACUCAAGAAAACUUUUUUACUGUGUAGUCUUAUUACGCCAGCACCAAUUAUGGAUUUGUUCAAAUACAGCAUGGGCUUGGGUGUAUUUAAAAGUGUCCAUAAGCUAGAAGAUGCACAUAACAAAUUACAUGCAUGGGUCCAUCAACUAAGAGACUCUUGUUUGUUGCUUGAGGAUGGUGGCAGUAAAUACAUUUCUAUGCACGAUGUUGUUCGCGAUGUUGCCAUUUCAAUUGCAUUUCGUGACAUGAAUGCAUUUGUGGUGAGAAAUGAGGAUGAUUGGAAAUGGCCAAAUGCAGAUGAAUUAAAAAAAUAUUUUGCAAUUUCUUUUAAAGAUAGUAUUGUUAAUGACAUUCCUGAAGGGUCGGAAUCUCUACAACUUGAACUUCUAUUCAUGUCUCCCAAGAACUCUUUUGCUGUGCCUAAUAUUCCUGAGAACUUCUUCAAAAGGACGAAAAAGCUUCGGGUUUUGGAUUUGACUAGAAUGCGGUUAUUGUCAUUGCCAUCUUCAAUUGGUCUUCUAGUAAAUCUUCAGACACUUUGUCUUAAUCAAAGCAUUUUGGGAGGCAUAGACAUAGCCAUUAUUGGAAAGUUGGAAAAUCUAGAAAUCCUUAGCUUUUUGCAAUCUGAUAUUGUAGAGUUGCCUAAAGCACUGGGUCAACUGACUAAGCUAAGGCUGUUAGAUUUAACAGACUGCUUCCGUCUGAAAGUUAUUGCCCCAAAUGUCAUAUCGAGCUUAAUCCGAUUAGAAGAAUUGUAUAUGGGUAAUUGCUUCAUUGAAUGGGAGGUUGAAAGAGCCAACAGCAAAAGAAGUAAUGCUAGCCUUGACGAAUUGAUGCAUUUACCUCGGCUAACUACUCUAGAAAUUGAUGUUAAAAAUGAGAGUAUGUUACCAGAAGGCUUUUUGGCCAGAAAGCUCGAAAGGUUCAAAAUACAUAUUGGAAAUGGGUUAUUCAUGCAUCCCAUGCUUUUUGGACAACAUUGGUUUAAAAGUCAGCUGCACUUUUUGAUCGACAGUAAUCGCAAGAUUUCAAGAGAAUUGGAGCUCAAGCUUGAUUUUAUGGACAUUUGCUCCAUGAAAUUGCAAGGCAUCAAUAACGUUGAAUACUUACGGUUGGACAAGCUGCAAGGCAUCGAGAAUGUUCUUUUCAAUUUGGACACGGAGGGCUUUUCACAAUUGAAGGUCCUCUGGCUUCAAAAUAAUCCUGACUUCUUUUGUAUCGUCGAUUCAAGGGAGAUGGUCGCUUGUGAUGCCUUUCCUCUGUUGGAGUCACUUGCCCUUCACAAUUUGAUCAACAUGGAGAGGAUAUGUAUUGAUCGGCUCAAAGUAGAGUCUUUCAACGAACUCAAAAACAUAGAAGUAUAUAAUUGUGAUAAGUUGAGUAAUAUCUUUUGGCUCUACUACAAAAUGCCUUCCAAGACUUGAGAGAAUUGCAGUUAUUAAUUGCAGCAAAAUGAAAGAGAUUUUUGCAAUUGGGGAAGAAGUUGAUAAUGCAAUUGAGAAGAUAGAGUUUGCUCAAUUAAGAUCUUUGAGUCUGGGGAAUCUUCCAGAGGUUACAAGUUUUUGCCGUGAGGUGGAGACUCCUUCAGCAUCACCGAACAGACAAGUGUCGCAAGAGGAAUCGACGACUAUGUAUUGCUCCAGCGAAAUCACUUUGGAUAUUUCAACUUUGCUUUUCAAUGAGAAGGUGCGUAGGCUAACAUUUUAUUCAUAUAUAUAUAUAACAGAGUUUAUUCUAUCAUGCGUUCUCUUAUGUCAAACGUGGAAAAUAAUUAAAUCAUUUAGAGAAUUGAAAGAAAAUGAAAACAAUGAGGAAAAAAAUAAUCUCACGCACUCACUAAUUGAGCUCUUAACAGGUAGUAUGAAUUAGAAUGUUAAUUUGUAAUCAAAGAGAAAUUUUCAACAAGAAAUUCUUAUCUUUUUAGGUUGCGUUGCGUAACUUGGAGGCUUUGGAGAUAUCUGAAAUUAAUGUCGACAAGAUUUGGCACUACAAUCAAAUUCCAGCGGCAGUGUUUCCUCACUUUCAAAGUUUAACACGAUUGAUUGUGUGGGGUUGUCACAAAUUAAAAUACAUAUUUUCAGCGUCUAUGAUCGGAAGCCUUAAGCAGCUCCAACGCCUAGAAAUACGCUCCUGUGAGGAUUUACAGGAGAUCAUCUCUGAAAACAGAGCAGAUCAAGUGAUCCCUUAUUUUGUCUUUCCACAGCUCACCACUUUGAUACUCCAUGAUCUACCAAAACUUAGAUGUUUGUACCCUGGAAUGCAUACUUCGGAAUGGCCCGCCCUAGAAAUUCUUUUAGUGUAUCGUUGUGACAGAUUAAAGAUAUUUGCGGCAGAUUUAUCGCAGAAUAAUGGGAAUGAUCAACUUGGUAUUCCUGCACAACAGCCCCUAUUGCCAUUGGAAAAGGUAUGAAGCCAUUUUCUAGAUUUUUUAUCUAUAGCUUAUUUUUAACUUUGAAAAAUAUGACAAAGUAUUGAUAAAUUAAUGCUCAAUAAAUUGAAAACUUUUAUUAUACAAUAAUCUUUGCUAGUCUAGACUAAGGGAUCAAUGUGGUAGAUUAAUGAUUAUAUAAACUUUUUUAGGUAUAGCAUUUGUAAAAGAAUCUUGAGUCUUUCCAUAUAGAAGAACUUACAAAAUAAAUUAGUAAUUUAUUAUUGUGCAGUAAAAUAAUUUCGAGUCAGUAUAAAUCAACCUUUUUUCCCUAAUUUCUUUUUUACCUCUAAAAUUAACAUAUAAAAAAUCAUUUAAUAAAUUUUAUCAAUAAUUCAAUUUUUUUAAAUAUAAUAUAAAACAAAUACUAUAAACUCACUGCUUAUGAUUGGAUUACUCAAAAUCAUUUGAGAAAACAUCAAUUGACCUUAUUAGUUAUUAUGAUUGAUGAUGAUCAGAUCUUACCCAACUUGACGGAACUAUCACUAUGCGGAAAAGACGUGAAGAUGAUUUUGCAGGCCGAUUUCCCACAACACCUUUUUGGCAGUCUUAGAGAUCUAGGGAUUGCUGCUGAUGACUCAGCUUGUUUUCCAAUCUGGAAUGUACUGGAGAGAUUUCACAAUCUCGAAAUGCUCGUACUGUGUUAUUUUUCAUUCCACGAAGAGGUAUUUUCGAUGGAAGGAUGCUUAGAGAAACAUGUGGGGAAGUUGGCAAUGAUAAAAGAAUUAGAGCUGUACCGGCACUAUCAUCUGAAGCAGCUGUGCAAACAAGACACCAAAUUUGGCCCCAUCUUUCAGUAUCUUGAAAUUCUAAGAGUAUAUCAUUGUCAAAGUCUGUUAAUUCUAUUGCAAUCAUCAUCGGUAUCUUUUGGGAAC
rnacentral:lncRNA from 1 species